rnacentral:lncRNA from 1 species
AUAUCCUUGCCAAAGCACAAAGGAUCCGCCGGUACAAGAAACGCCAACGCUUCUUUGAAGAAAACAAAAAGUUCAACUCCAACCCCAAAAAGUUCUACCAAGAACUGGGCAAAAAUAAAAUAGAAGUCACUGCAGCACCAACGGCAGAAGAAUUGGAAGAAUUCUGGGGAGAAAUAUGGUCGGCGAACGAACCACCAAAAAAAGGAGUAUCAAAAUAACAAACUCGGCAUCUGAACAAAUUUGGACCCCCAUAACAACUGAAGAGGUCACCCAGGCACUGCAAAGACUAAGCAACUGGAAGGCACCUGGGCAUGACAAGAUCCCCAACUUCUGGUUGAAAUAUCUAACAGAAAUGCACAAAAAGCUGGCUGAAAACUUUAACAACGUACUAGCAGAGCCAGAGACAAUGCCUGAAUGGCUCACGAAGGGGAAAACCAUCUUAAUUCCCAAAUCAAAUGAAACAGAAAAACCAGAAAACUACAGACCAAUAACCUGCCUCCCUACUAUGUUCAAGGCAUUUACUGCAGUGAUAUCACAAAGGCUGAACAAGCACCUGGACGAAAACAAACUGUUCCCAGAAGAGCAGAAAGGAUGCCGCAAAGGCUCAUAUGGCUGUAAAGAUCAACUAAUGAUUAAUAAAGCCAUAACUGAAGACAGCCACAGAAAGAAGAAAGGCCUCAGUAUGGCCUGGAUUGACUACAAAAAGGCGUUUGAUAGCAUCCCCCACACAUGGAUCCUCGAAACACUAGCCAUUAACAAAGUAGCACCAACAAUCAUAAAAUUCAUAGAGCACUCUAUGAAUAAAUGGCAAACAGUCCUACACCUCCAAACAAAAGAGGGACUCAUGAAAACCAAAGACAUCCCCAUUAGAAGAGGAAUAUUCCAGGGAGAUACGCUCUCUCCACUCCUUUUCUGCUUGGCACUGUCACCUCUAUCUGAUAUGCUAAAUAGAACUGGAUGCGGAUAUAAAUGUUACGGCAAAACGAUCAGCCACCUUUUAUAUAUGGAUGACCUAAAACUAUACGCUGCAAAUGACAAACAGCUGGAAACACUAUUAAAGACAGUUCAUGGAUUUACCAAAGAAAUAGAUAUGAAAUUUGGAUUAGAAACAUGCGCCAAAGUAACCAUGAAAAGAGGAAAACUAGUUAAGAGUAACAACAUCACACUAGAUGAAGCAAAUGAAAUAAAAGAAUUAGACCAAAGCCAAACUUACAAAUACUUAGGAAUCCAUGAACUAGAUAAGACACAACACACACAAAUGAAAGAGAAAAUAAAAAAAGAAUAUUAUAGACGAGUUAGAUCAAUACUAAACACAGAGCUCAAUGCUAAAAACAAGAUAAUAGGUAUCAACACUUUAGCUGUCCCAGUUAUAAGUUACAGCUACAAUAUCCUUAACUGGACACUAAAUGAACUGACCAAAAUAGACAGGAAAACAAGAAAAAUACUGACAGGAUCUAGGAUGCAUCACCCAAAAUCUGACAUAGAAAGACUAUAUAUACAACGUAUAGAAGGUGGUAGAGGCCUUAUACAGCUGGAAAACUACUAUAAAAUAACCACCAUAGGACUGCAAAAAUAUCUACUUCAGAAGGAAGGAAAACUGAUCCAGAUAGCGGCAAAACACGAGCAAAACAAAAAACUGUUCUCAGUAUUUAAGGAAGCUGACAAAUACAAACAAGAAAUCAUACCACCUAAUAAACAUGAAGAAGAAGAAGAAGAUGAAGAAACAACAAAAGCUAUAAAACAAAUGAAAUCCAAACUAAAAAUAGAACAGCAACGAACCAUGAUAAAACGAUGGCAAGAAAAGCCCCUUCAUGGUAAAUACUGGACUAAACUAAACGCAAAAGAAAUAGACAAAGAAAAAUCCCAGCAAUGGUUGAGAAGCUCAGGACUCAAAGCAGAAACAGAGGGAUUUUUAAUUGCAGCACAAGACCAAAGCCUCCCCACCAGAAAUUACCAAAAACAUGUAAUGAAAAGAAAUAUUACAAGUAACUGCAGAAUAUGUGGAGAUGGACAAGAAACAAUAAAUCAUAUUAUCUCUAGCUGCCCAGUCCUGGCUAAGAAGGAAUAUAUUCACAGACAUGACAGAGUUGGAACUUACAUACAUUGGAAGCUAUGCCAACAUUAUGGAAUAACAACAGAAAAAAGAUGGUAUAGGCACACACCAGAAAAGGUCACAGAAAACGAGAAAGCAACCAUACUCUGGGAUAUGCCGAUACACACAGAUAGAGAAAUUAAGGCCAACAGACCAGAUAUAGUUGUCAGAGACCAUGAAGGAAAAAAAUGCUUUCUAUUUGAUGUAUCAGUACCGGCAGAUGACAACGUGUCUCUAAAAGAAAUGGAGAAACUCUCAAAAUACAAAGACCUGGAAAUAGAGGUAACUAGAAUGUGGAAUCUGAAAACAGAAACAAUUCCUAUCAUAGUAGGUGCAUUAGGCAUGAUAAAAAAAUAUUCAGACAAAUACAUAACAAAAACACCAGGACUUACAAACACAUAUAACAUACAGAAAAUUGCACUACUAGGCACUGCACACAUCCUACGCAGAACACUUUCCAUACAAUAACCAUCAGAGCAUCACAACAAAUCACAGCACAUACCCAAGGCACACAGAGCUGCGCUCGGUAGUGAAGUGAAAGCACGCUAUAAAAAUAAAAAUAAAACUACUGAAUAAUAAUAAUAAUAAUAAUAAUCCCUUCUGCUAUAGGCAUUAGACCUGAUGUUUUGGGGUACGGGGUAACUUGAUUACAUUGACCCAAGUGCUCAACUGGUACUUUAUAUUAUCGAUCCCGAAAGGAUGAAAGAUAAAGUUGACCCUGGCAGAAUUUGAACUCGGAAUGUAAAGACGGACGAAAUGUUGCUAAGCUUUUUGCUUGGUGUGCUAAUGAUUCUGCCAGUUUGCCACCUUACUACUACUAUUAAUAAUAAUGAUUAUGAUGAUGAUAAUGAUAAUAGUAAUAAUCAUCAUCAUCAUCAUUUAGCGUCCACUUUCCAUGCUAGCAUGGGUUGGACGGUUUAACUGGGGUCUGUGAAGCCAGAAGGCUGCAUCAGGCCCAGUCUGAUCUGGCAGUGUUUCUAUGGCUGGAUGCCCUUCCUAACGCCAACCACUCCGUGAGUGUAGUGGGUGCUUUUUAUGUGCCACCGGCACAGGUGCCAGACGGAGCUGGCAAACGGCCACGGACGGAUGGUGCUUUUUACGUGCCACCGGCACGGGGGCCAGGCAAGGCUGGCAACGGCCACGGACGGAUGGUGCUUUUACGUGCCACCGGCAUGGGGGCCAAGCAAGGCUGGCAUAUAUAUAUAUAUAUCUAAAAUCAUUUAUUCACUUACAUCCAUUUCUCCAAGCUAGCAUGGGUUAGAUGAAUAAUAAUAAUAAUAAUAAUAAUGUGUAUGUGUGUGCAUAUACACACACAGGCAUAAGAUUAAAACAUUAACAGAUUAACAGAUCGAUUGAAUUGUAAUGUUCAUCAACAAUAAUAACAAUUACACACACAAAAAAAAACAGAGGAUAAGGUUUAUAGCAUGCAAAAUUUAUGUUUUCGUGAUGUUUUCCAUCACUAACAUUUAAUUACAUAAACAGUAUAUAAAACAAUAAAUAUAUAUGAACAUUGCUCUGAGUUAAAAGCAAAAGUGGUUGAUAAGAUCUAAUACAGCUGAAACAGUUGACUUGGCUGAAUUUACUCUUUUUGUUCUUGUUUGUGUCUAUGAGUUACAAAGAAUUGUUAGACUUGAGGGCAUAAUGUAGUAUUGAUCAGAAGGAAACGCAUGUGCACGCAUGUGUCCCGGAAAACAAUAUCUAGUUUUGUCUUAGUUGAUGAUGAUCAUGAUGACAAUGAUGAGACUUUGUAUAUAUUAGCUACAUUGUGUGUAGCAUGACUUUAUUAUAAAACUGAACAAUGCUAUGACAAUUGUACACAUUCUGGAUGUAAACAUUGUUUAGUGUCAUCUAUGUUAGUAUUUUGGACAUUAGCAAGAAGAAGGUCAGUAUGUACGGCCCCUUGGAGCAAAGUAAGUGAUGUUGGCUAAGAUUCAUAAUUAACAAUGAAACAGUAUUUUGUUUUUAAUACUCUCGUUUAUAUGAGUGAGUUGUAUAAAUGGUAAAGUGUCUGAUAUUGGUUUAAAAUUAGGCACAAGGCCAGCAGUUUUAGGGGUGGGGCUAAGUCUAUAAGACUGAUCCCAGUGCUUGACUGGUUCUUAUUUUAUCAACCCCAAAAGGAUGAAAGGCAAUGUCGACUCCGGCAGAAUUUGAACUCGGAAUAUAAAAAUGAAUGAAAUUCUGUUAAGCAUUUUUCCUGGCAUGCUAAUGAUUCUGCCAGUUCAUUGCCUUAAUUUAGUGUAUAAUAUUGAUUUGUUCCAACACCUGAUUAAUUAAAGUAUAUUAGUUAGUGCUUCUGACCAUUGCAGGCCCUCCCACACUGGUGCAGUUUUGGCAGUUAAUGUUUAUUUGAAGAUCAACAGGAUGCAGAGGUAAUUCUGGAAGGAAUUAUGUCCCUUUUGUGCUCUGAGUUCAAACCCCAUUGAGGGCUGCUUUACCUGUCAUCCUUGUCCACAUUCAUAGAGCAUGUCCAAUAACUUGGUAGACACUGACACAAUCUGUGCUCAACCCUCAGUCGAGAGCAGUGUUAAUGGGGGAGUUUGACUAGAGCAGUAUGCCUGUUAACCCUUCAGCGUUCAGAUUACUCUGUCAAAUAUAAUGCUUAUUUAUUCACAUUGCUUUGAUUUAAUCAUGCCUUAUCUUGUAGCUUUGAAAUUUCGACAUUGAUGAUGGUAAACAUCAUCAUCAUUUAACAUCCAUUUUCCAUGCUGGUUUGUGUUGGAUGGUUUGACCAGGGCUGGCAAGCAGGAAAGCUGCACAAGUUCCAGUUUGAUUUGGCUUAGUUUCUCUCACUGGAUGCCCUUCCUAAUACCAACCAUUUUACAGAGUGUGCCGGAUGAUUUUUACAUGGCACUGACAUGGGUGCUUUUAUGCAUUUAUUUCUAGAAUGCUAUUGUAGGGUAGGUAGAAGAGGCUGGAUCUGGCCAGCUUGAACAUAAAACAAGUAGAAUUUUGGGGCCAGAUAUGGCUUGUUUAAGUGCUAAAAGGUUACACUGUAAUGCAGGUGUCCCAACGUCAGCUCAGUAUGGAAAGAAACCAUGUGUUGCACAAAAGAGGAAAAUCUCACUUGAUCUUGAUUUUCAGUACAAAUAUGAACUGAAAAACAUAGCCUAUUGAUCCUUUCUGAAUAGUGGCAAGCUAUCCAUCUGCUGAGAGGUGUCAGAAAAGUUACCACAGGGAUAACUGUUUUUUUGUUUGUUCCUUCUCGAGCCAUGCCUGGCUCAUAAGGGCCGGUUUCCUGGUUUCCUUGGCGUAUAGGUUCCCCACUUGGAUGGGACGCUGGUCCGUCGCAGGUGAGCUGCAAGAUGCAGGAGGAAAGAGUGAGAGAAAGUUGUGGCAAAGGAAUCAGCAGAAGUUGGCCAUUACCUUCUGCCAGGGCCGCGUGGAGCUUAGGUGUUUCGCUCAUAAACACACACAUCGUCCAGUCUGAGAUUCGAACCCAUGAUUCCUCGACUGCGAGUCCACUGCUCUAACCACUAGGCCAUGUGUCUCCACUACAGGGAUAACUGGCUUGUGGUGGACUUGAGUUCACAGUAACAUCACUUUUUGAUCCUUCAAUGUUGGCUCUCCCUAUCAUUGUGAAGCAAAACUUGCAAAUCAUUACAUUGUUCAACCACUAACAGGGAACAUGAGCUGAGUUUAGACUGUCACGCGACAGGUUAGUUUUAUCUCACUGAUGCAUCAUAUAUAAGCAGCAUCCUGAUGAGGCCGAUGCAAUCAACUAUAUCAUACUUUUAAAAACAUACAGCUUUGUGUGCUUAUACUAGGAAUCAGUUUAUUGUGUUUUCUUUAUUACAAUGUUCAGCACACCAUGGUACGGUGUUAUUCUCUGACUUGAUGUUAAAUUGAAACUUUUCUUCCCCCUCUUGUUGUAGCCACUUUAGUUAUUGUUAGCAUUGGUGUUUAUUAUUGAGAAAAUAUCUCUGAUGUUGGUGGUGGUGGUGGUGGUGGUGGUGGAAGAGGAAACGAUUGUGGUAGUGUUGGUUCAGACAGUUCACAGAACAACAGAUAGGUGCAACACAGAGAUGUAGAAAAUUUGAACUACAGUUGUAUUUAUGUGCGUUUACACUGGGUGUACACAUGUGUCUGUGUGUGUGCAUGAUAUGUCUAUAUAACUGUCUAGGAUGGGAGUGUAUUAGUUGGAAUAGUUCCAAUACUUUUAUAUUUCAAGUAAAUGUUAGUUUAUGUCUCAAAGACACAAUUUAUUUUAAUAUUUAAUUGUUUGAAAUAUUCCUUUCAUAAGAUCUUGGCUCAUCAUACUGGCAAUGCAUUGAGCUGCUACCCAGUAUUGUAAUACCUCUGAACUGGUACCUAGCAAUGCAAUACUGUUGUAUCACUGUCUUGUGAUAUAAUACCACUGAGCUAGUGCUUAGUAAUAUAAUACUAUAGAGAUGGUGUCUGGGAAUGUAAUUUUACUGAGCUGGGGUCCAGGUAAGUAGCACCACUGGGCUGAGGUCUAGGUUUGUAGUAUAACCAAGCUGGUGUCUAAUAAUGUAGCACAUUUGCCCUGGUAUGGCUUAAUGGUUAGAGCAUUGAGUUCACAAUCAUGAGGUAGUGAGUUCAUUUUCCAGACUGGGUUCUGUGUUGUGUUCUUGAGCAAGACAUUUUAUUUCACGUUGCUCCAGUUCACUCAGCUGUAGAAAUAAGUUGUGACGUCACUGGUGCCAAGCUGUAUUGGCUUUUGUCUUUCCCUUGGAUAACAUUGGUACCACGGAGAAGAGAGGCUGGUAUGCAUGGAUGACUGCUGGUCUUCCAUAAACAACCUUGCUCGGACUUGUGCCUUGGAGGGUAACUUUCUAGGUGCAAUUCCAUGGUCAUUCAUGACUGAAGGGGUGUCUUUACCCUCAUACUACGGAGAUGGCAUACAGCAAUGUAAUAUUUCUUGGGUGGUGCCUAACUAUGACAUACCAUUGAGAUUGUGUGUAGCAAUACAAUAAGUCAUCUAAUGAGUUCACUAAAGCUACUACAUUUAAGAUGAAGAUUUACAUAGAUGUAAAAGCAGUGAAGGGUCAGAAAUUGUAUGCCCCACAACGUUUAGUUACAUCUCUGUAUGUUCCAAUUUGGACUCCUUCUCUGUGUCCAUUAAGUCUUUCAUAGGUCCUGAAAUCAAUGAAAUAUGUAGUAAAGUGCUGAGUCUAUUUAAUUGAUUGAUGUGCUUUUCAAAGCUUUUCAAAGUCAUUAUAUAUAAUCACCAGAUCACCAGAUAUAUAUAUGUAUAUAUAUAAAUAUAUAUGUAUAUAUAUAUAGGAGGGUAACUUUCUAGGUGCAAUUCUGUGGUCAUUCAUGACUGAAGGGGUGUCUUAUCGUUAGCCACUACACACAUUUUUUUCUCUCCUUGUUUCUCCCCUUGUUUUUUUUUCUGUGUCCCUUUCUGUAGAAGAGCAUAGGCUCGGAACGCAAAAGACUUUUUCUAUUCCUGAGCGUUAUACUAAUACAUCUGUUUGUUUUGUACACCACCUGUCUUUGUCUUUUGUUUUUUCGUAAACUCUCUUUAUAUAUAUAUAUGUAUAUAUAUAUAUAUAUAUAUAUAUAUAUAUAUAUAUAUAUAUAUAUAUAUAUAUAUAUAUACCGGAGUAAACACAUAAAUGUGAAACAAGGUGGAAAAAAGAGUACUCAAAUACCAGUGCUUUAUUUAAAGCAGCAGAAAAUUCAACAAAACCUGUUACUCUGAGUUUCCCGUUGCAACGAGAAACUCAAAGUAACAGGUUUUGUUGAAUUUUCUGCUGCUUUAAAUAAAGUACAUAUAUAUAUAUAUAUAUUUAUAUAUACUAUGCCAUAUUUUUGUAGUUACCAACUAAAUAUACAUUGUAUCCUUAUGUACGUGUUUGAUCAAUAAGUAUCCAGACUGUUGCUAUAGUAACAAAGUUAAAGCAUGCAGAGUGAAGCUUCCUGGCACAGAUUGACCUUGAACUCUGCUGUGCACGUGCACUAAGCUUUAAUGUUCUAGCUCACUUCUGCUGUUUACAGUGAUGAUCACACGCUACACACUUUCCUUCCAAGCACUGAUGUAAACAGUGGAAGUGAGCUGGAACGUUAAAACUUAGCGUACAUGCAUAGAAGAGGUCAAGGUCAGUCUGUGCCAAGUAGCUCUACUCUGUGUGCAUUAGCUUCGUUACUAUGGCAACAGUCCGGAUACUUAUUGAUCAUACCUCAAUUAGUUAGCAAUCAAAUAUUCACUAUGUUCUUGUGUGUGUGCAUGUGUGUGUGUGUAAUUUACCAGUAAAUAUACAUUUUUCAGUUAUAUUCUUUUAUUUUUUUACUUGUUUCAAUUAUUACACUGUGGCUAUGCUGGAGCACCACCUUGAAGGGAUUUUAGUCAAACAAAUCGGCCCCAGGGCUUAUUUUUUUAAAGCCUAGUACUUAUUCUAUCGGUCUCUUUUGCCAAACUGCUAAGUUACACGGACGUAAACACACCAGUAUAAGUUGUCAAGUGAUGGUGUGGGGGACAAACACUGACACAAAGACACACACACACACACACGUCUUCUUUCAGUUUUCGUCCAACAAGUCCACUCACAAGGCUUUGGUUGGCCCAAGGCUAUAUGAGGACAUUUGCUCAAGGUGCCACACAGUGGGACUGAACCUGGAACCAUGUGGUUGGGAAACAAGCUUCUUACCACACAGCAGCACCUACAUCUAUAUGUUAUGUAUGGAAACUUACAAAAAAAUGUAACUGUUAGCCAAAAUUAGUAAAUACUAUGAGAGGUUACCCAAGUAGACUACUUCUUUCAGUUACGAAAGUAAUCUGCCAUGUCAUAAAUUCUAUUAAUUUUAGGCCCUGUUGUAAGCUCAUAGUUCAAGAGCUGAAAUAAGUUCCCAUGUAGUAUGAUCUAUUUAAUUCAGGCACAGUAACAGGCUCUCUUAUGCUACUUUGUAUUUUGUUCAGGUGUUGAAGUCAGCACCCAUGUGAUACAACCUAUUUAGUGCAGGCCCUGUAAAAGGAUCUUAUGCGGUACCAACCAUAUUUGAAUGUUGUUUUACCAAAUAUAGUCUCAUAGAUGCUGUAUGCUGUAAGUUUGCUAAAAUGUUUUCUCUUGCUCUUUUAUUUCCUCCAAGAAAGACUUGAAUGUCAGAGGUUACUCCUUCAAAUGUGGUAAAGCUUUAAAUAUUCGUGAGUGAUUAAAAACAAGAAAGAUUACUUCGUUUUUGGAUUUGGUUUGCAAGAUUCUUUAUAUGAGUUCGUGUGUUGAAGCAUAUUCUGUUGUGUUUGGGAAGUCAAGACUAUUGAAAAGGUUGCAACACACAACAAAAAUUUUAGAAAAUAAAAAUAAGAAAUAAGUGGAAAUUUUACCGGUGAGUGUGUUAAAUUAUAAGGCCCUAAAAGAGAAUGAACACAAUAAGAAAGAUUACUAUUUCAUAGAAAGUUUCAGAUUAAAUUAAGUAAGUUGGGAUGUGAAAGAGAGAUAGGAGGGAUAAAGAUCAAAGGAGAUAUAGCAGGAGAUAAGGUAUAGACCAGAGGAUAGACAGGUGGGGAAAAAGUAUGAACCAAAAGAUAGAUUGGGUGGGGGGAUAACUUAUGGCCCAGAGAAGAGAUAGAGAUGGAUAAGGAUGAGAGAUUUAGUAAAAUGGGAUUUUCAAGUUUGACCCCUAUCUCAUUCCACCUUAUUUUAUUCAUAGUUUUUGUUUUAUAGUAGCAAGAGUUUUUCAUACAGAUACAAGAUCACACAAUAUUGGUUGCACCACUGUUAGCUGAAGAAUGUAUCUGCUGAUUGUGAUUGUCAGCAUUUUAUCUUUUGUCUUUCACCUGUCUCAGUCAUUAGACUGCAGCCAUGCUGGGGCUCUACCUUGAAGAAUUUUUACUUGAAUGAAUCAAUUCUAGUACUUUUUCUUUUAAGUAUAGGCAUAGGAGUGGCUGUGUGGUAAGUAGCUUGCUUAUCAACCACAUGGUUCUGGGUUCAGUCCCACUGCGGGGCACCUUGGGCAAGUGACUUCUACUAUAGCCUUGGGCCGACCAAAGCUUUGUGAGUGGAUUUGGCAGACGGAAACUGAAAGAAGCCCGUUGUAUAUAUGUAUAUAUGUAUGUGUGUGUAUAUGUUUGUGUGUCUGUGUUUGUCCCCCCAACAUCGCUUGACAACCGAUGCUGGUGUGUUUACAUCCCCGUAACUUAGCAGUUUGGCAAAAAUAGAUCGAUAGAAUAAGUCCUAGGCUUACAAAGAAUAAGUCCUGAGGCUGAUUUGCUUAACUAAAGGCGGUGCUCCAGCAUGGCCACAGUCAACUGACUGAAGCAAGUAAAAGAGUAAAAGAGAGAGAAAGAGUAUAGUACUUAUUCUAUCAAUUGCUUUUGCUGAACUGCUAUGUAACAGGGACAUAAACACACCAACACUGAUUGUCAAGCAUAGGUGGGGGAAAACACAGACACAAAGACCCACACAGUGGCGGAUUGGGCCUAAAAAUUUUUGUUACCAGGCAACUCAGGGGGGCCACCUACAACUUCACUCGCUACCGCAGGAUGAAAAAAGAAAACAUCAGCUAAGUUCCCGACCUGUUUCCUCUUUUCAUUGUUUUUGCAAGCCUUAUUAUUAUUGUGUCCCCAUCUAGUAGCGUUGUCGUUGUCUUUCGUCUCAAAUGCUAGCUGAAGCAUGAAAACUUUCACUCACAAAAACUUAUUCACACCACCGCAAAGCAUUUCAUCUCAAUCCUGUCUUCUUUCUGCCGCCUAAAACCUCAUCUCCCAAUUCUCUCUCUCGCUAUGUGGUGUCGUUUCUCCCUCUGUUUUCACUGUCUCUCUCUCUCUCUCUCUCUCUCUCUCUCUCUCUCUCUCUCUUUCUCUCUCUCGGUAUAUAUCUCACCUUCACUCGCUACCGCAGGACAGAAAAAAAGAAAACAUCAGCUAAGUUCCCGACCUGUUUCCUCUUUUCAUUGUUUUUGCAAGCCUUAUUAUUAUUGUGUCCCCAUCUAGUAGCGUUGUCGUUGUCUUUCGUCUCAAAUGCUAGCUGAAGCAUGAAAACUUUCACUCACAAAAACUUAUUCACACCACCGCAAAGCAUUUCAUCUCAAUCCUGUCUUCUUUCUGCCGCCUAAAACCUCAUCUCCCAAUUCUCUCUCUCGCUAUGUGGUGUCGUUUCUCCCUCUGUUUUCACUGUCUCUCUCUCUCUCUAUCUCUAUCUCUCUCUCUCUCUCUCUCUCUCUCUCGGUAUAUAUCUCACCUUCACUCGCUACCGCAGGAUGAAAAAAGAAAACAUCAGCUAAGUUCCCGACCUGUUUCCUCUUUUCAUUGUUUUUGCAAGCCUUAUUAUUAUUGUGUCCCCAUCUAGUAGCGUUGUCGUUGUCUUUCGUCUCAAAUGCUAGCUGAAGCAUGAAAACUUUCACUCACAAAAACUUAUUCACACCACCGCAAAGCAUUUCAUCUCAAUCCUGUCUUCUUUCUGCCGCCUAAAACCUCAUCUCCCAAUGCGCGGUGCGCCCACCCUCCCUCCCAUCCCCACCACCCUCCCUCCCAUCCCCACCACCCUCCCUCCCAUCCCCACCACCAAUACCGGAUAUCUCUAUAUUUUGCUCCAUCUAUACCGGAUGUCGCUUCUCCCACCACCAUUAUAGGUGUCUACUCUUCGAACGCCCCUCUUCAAUACGCUAUUUCACCAUGCAUUACCCCUCUCUCGAUAUCCUACGUUCUACUUGCCUAGAACCUGUCAUCAUUUCUCUGAACCACCCCUCCCCACUGGUGCUCCCCUAUAUUUCUGCACCCCCCCCCCAUAAAAAGCACCAUCCGAACGUGGCCGAUGCUAGACCCCUCUGGCAUCUGUGCAGGUGGCACGUAAAAAGCACCCACUACACUCGCGGAGUGGUUGGCGUUAGGAAGGGCAUCCAGCUGUAGAAACACUGCCAGACUAGACUGGAGCCUGGGGCAGUCCCGAGCUCCCCAGACCCCGGUCGAAACCGUCCAACCCGUGCUAGCGCGGAAAACGGACGUUAAACGAUGAUGAUGAUGAUGAUGAUGAUGAUGAUGAUGAAUGAAUAAAUAAAAUUUUCAAAACAUACAUAAGUGGAAACAAAAAGGUGCAACUCAAAUUUUUGUGAAAAAAAAUUGUAUAUUUUCCAUUAAUUACAAUGUACAUGUACUGGCAGUUUACAGUAGUAAUACCAAUUGUAAAUUCAGAAUGAAUUUUUAAAUAAAUGCUUUGGUGAAUAUAUAAUACACUGUUAUUUUGAAAAUUUUUAAACCAAACUGAAAAUAAAGACCAAUAAAUAUAUAAAUCAAUUUCAUUAUUUUUAAUGAAGACUUAUUACUGUCAAAGAGAUUGCUAUGUUUUCUUAUGAAAAUCAUGGUAUUGUAGCCAAUUUCACAUCUUCAUACAUAUACAUCAUUUGUUUGUUUAUUUACUCUUUACAAAAGAGAUUUCUUUUAAACAACCUGUUCAUAUUUUGUUUUUAAUUAAAUGUACAUAUGCCAAGAAUUCUAUCACCACCACUUUGAUUGCUUCUGCAAUAAAAUAUAAAUUUACAUGAUUUUGAUUUCUUCUAGUUUUAAUAUUUUAUUUCCUUCUAUUAUUCUUUUUUCCUUGCCUCUUGCUACUACUUUUUUUUUUAUAAAACCCUUAUAACAUUUUCAAAAUAGCUGUAUAUUAUACACGUACCAAGUUUUUAAAGUUUUAAGUAAUUGGUGGAUAUUUUAAAAUUGCUUACUUAUACUGCACACUUUACACAGAUAGUUCAAAUGUACAAAACUUGUAUUGAUUGCAGCCCACUAUAUUAAGAGCGCUUAUUUGUGUUCACUAGAUGAUUGUGCAAAUCUGUCAGUAAUUGCUUCUGUAUCCAAUUCAUCUAACAAUUUGUUUUCAAUGGAUAGCAACAUGUAUACUUCCAAUUUCUCCUCAGACAGUGAACUUCUUUAUCUUGUCUUCAUGAUCUUUAGCUUUGAAAAUGUCCUCGCACAUUGGACUUGGGUAACUGAUAGUGUGCAGAUGACUUUAUAAAGGUCAUGGAGGUUAUCAUAUGCCUUGUCAUGAAGUCUGUUGGAUGCCAGGAUUUUUAGUAUACGCGAUGGGCAAGUGCUGCAAAUUUUACAGUUGUUGUAACUGGAACCCAUAUUCUCACCAUCAUUAACUAAUAGCUUUAAUACAUCAAAGGUUGAAGCAAAAGAAGACAAUUCCAAACUUACCUGGUCUUUGCUGAUUUGUGGAAACAACUUAAUAAUACCUUCCAAUGUUUCAACUUCAAGGCCCUUCUCUGCAAACGUUUUAAACUUAGCUGGGUUCAAGCAGGAUACAUCUUUAUACAACUGUUUGUGCUGUACAAAUUUUGAUUCUACUGACUUGACAAUGGGACCCAUCUAUCUAUCCAUCCAUCCAUCCAUCCAUCCAUCCAUACAUACAUACAUACAUAUGUCAAUUAUAAUCUGCUUCUGGUUUUAUUGCUUGUUGUGUGGAGGCUAAUAACUGUUAGGUUCAACCCAAUGCCAGCCAAAGUCCCUUAGGAUGUUUGUUUGUGCCUAUAUAUAUAUAUAUAUAUAUAUAUAUAUAUAUAAAGGAUGUGUUAUGAUACUAUUCCACAUAUACAAUAUAUAUAUAUAUAUAUAUUUAAAUAGGUGAAUGAAUUAUCCUAUGUUUAUCGUCAGCAUGGAAAAUUCGUUGAACCAAAACCAGGGUAGCAAAUUCACGUCAGAAACACGGUUGAAGUGACCUGUCCAAGGGUAGAAACUCCGGGUUCAUGUGCAGAAAUUUGUGUGUUGUAUAUGAAUAAAUGAAAGAAUGGAGUCGAACGAAGAUGUUAACAAAAUUCCUUUACUCUCGACAUAUGUUUCGAAGACAACAUGGUUUCAUUCCAAAGGAAUAAAGGGUGCAUUAUGCAAUCUUCUCAUCAGGAAAGAAAGGGAGCCUCUCUCGACAACAAGACAAACAAAAAUUUCGAUGACUGUCUACAUGGUAAACAAAACGAUAUAUAUAUAUAUAUAUGUAUCCAUAUACAUGUAGGUGUGUGUGUGUAUAUGUGUAUAUAUGCAUUAAUAUGUAUAUGAAUUUAGUUACACUUUAUCACCACUGACUAGCUGUCUGCUGUAUCAUAUAUUUUGGUUUCUAAUAAUUCCCAAGGGAAUUAAUUGACCAACUGCUUUGCUUAAUUGUUUUAUUUGUCUUCUUAAAAUUCUUAUUCUUUCUCUAAGAUUUCAAAUAUUUUCUUUGAAAGCAAAAUUUUUUUUCAUGGGCCCCUUACAUACUAACAUGCCUCUCAACCCAUAUAUGGAAUCUAAUGUCUAAGGGGACCCACUUACCAUUGGGCAAGCUGACAACCUGGCCAGUCUGCCACUGCACAUACACACACACACACACACAUGCACACACACACACACACACAUGCACACAUACAUGCAUGACAGGACUCUUUCAGUUUCAGUCUACCAAAUCCACUCACAAGGUUUUGGUUGCCUUGAGGCUAUAGUACAAGGCACUUGCCCAAGGUACCAUGCAGUGGGACUGAACCCAGAACCAUGUAGAUGGAAAGCAAGUUUAUUACCACAGAGCCAUGCCUGAGCCUAUAACAUGGAAUAGACUAUUAUACACACAUGUACACACACAAUCACACGUACCAACUAUUAUCCUGAAUUUGACAUAAUGGACUGCUAUGUGCGUGCGCACACAUGCACACACACACACACACACACACACACACACACACAUACACACACACACACUUACGUUGCAGCCUGUAAAUAGAACUAAAGUGUUGAUUCAAUGGUAAGAUGAGCCAAGAUAAUUUGAGAACUCUGAGUUGAGGUUGACUACCUAGAAUUGAACAUAACACUGCAAAUUCAUUAUCAUUAUCAUCGUUUAAUGUCUGCUUUCCAUGCUAGCAUGGGUUGGAUGAUUUUGACUGAGGGCUGGCAAACCAGAUGGCUGCACCAGGCUCCAAUCUUGAUCUGGCAGAGUUUCUACAGCUGGAUGCCCUUCCUAACGCCAACCACUCUGAGAGUGUAGUGGGUGCUUUUUACGGGAAAAGGAGACAGUCACUGUAUGUCCACUUGACCUGACAGAAACGGCAGCCAAAUCUCCCUCAAAUUAUACCCUAACAUUUUAAAAAUGUAGUUCUGAAUAUACAAGAAAAUGGGAUGGUUAUGGCUGGAAUGUCUUUGAUUAUAGGUCUGUUUGAUCAGAGGUGACCUGGAGCUAAACACUACAUUUAAAUGCACUAAAUCAUCUUGGGAUUAAUGCCUUGGUCACAUACAACAGCACAGUGCCAAUACUGUGAUUUAAAUGUCUCAAUGUCCCAACCUUUCACUCGUCCAUUACCUGUCAUCUGUUUCCCUUGUAUGUAAUUGUCCCAUGUCUUAUUAUACAUGGACAUUUGGUCUAGUAAUAUGCAUAUUUUACACAGAAGAGGAAAUAAACUUGUAUUCAGUUCUCAUAAUCUCAAGAGAUUUUAUUGACUUAAAUAUAACAACCUUUGCAAUAGAGAGAGCAGGUUAUGGAGAAAAUAAAAGUCUGAGAAAAUAAAAGUCUGAGAUUGGUUGAAAAAUUCAAGAAAGUGUCAUUGAUUAAGUGAAUUGGUGCUAUUUGCUGUUCAUUGUAGUGUUAAAGACAUCGAUAUAAUGUUGUCAGUCAAGACUGACUUUUGUGUUAUAUUUAAUGUUUCUGCAGAAAAUAUCUCAUUCAGUCAAUAAUUGAAGCUUUAGAUUUCCAAAUCAUUUCCAAACAGAAAUUACUAAUUUGAUUGGCUGCUUAAAAAUAUUGUCUGUGUUACUAUUGACAGAAGAGAUCGAAUCUUAAAGGAAGUAGAUAUGGUGGUAUUUUUGUUUUUUCCGAUCACAUGGUUGGUAGUUGGCACCUCACCACCAACACCACAUCAUGUCUGUCUCAAAGACAACUUUCGAUGACCUUGUUUUAUGAGGUUUAUCAUAUUCAGGGCCCUAAGUACUUAAAAGAUUUUGGUGCCUCUCACCUCAUAUAUAUAUAUAUAUAUAUAUAUAUAUAUAAGAUUCAAGACUCAAGGUGUAGAAAGAUAGCUUUGAGCAGUCCAUCAAAGACAACCUUCAGGAACAAUAGUGGUUUAUUGACAUAGAAAAUUGUAAGAUUUUCCGGUAUCAAAAUUCAAUAAGCUGAAGAAAUUGUUUUAUAGCUUACAGUUAGCAGCAGGGGUUGCUGUGUAUGGGAAUAGAAAUCCAAAAUUAGGGAAAGGAGUAGUUAAAAUCCAGGCUACAUAUGUUUCAUAGCUAUCAGAAUCUCAGAAGUAGUAAUUAUCCAAACAAGGGGUAAUCUGCUAGCUACUCAUCGAGGCAAACAUUCUUUUGCUUAAGUUAUCUUUGGCCUGAUGAGUAGCUAGUGGAUCACCCACGUUUGGAUAAUUACCUCUGAAGUUCUUCUAGUUAUGAGACAUAUAUAGCAUGGAUUUUAUCUACUCCAUUUCCUAAUUUUGGAGGAAGAUAGUUUUUGUAUGUGGCAGAUGCUCAGGAACAAUAAACACUGAAAAUGCUCUGAGACCAACUUCUGUCACUUUCCAGGGAGAAAAACUAGAAAUAGUUGAUAGCUUCUGUUACCUGGGUGACCAAGUCAGUAGCGGGGGUGGUUGUGCUGAAAGUGUAACUGCUAGAGUAAGAAUAGCCUGGCCAAAGUUCAGAGAGCUCUUACCUCUGCUGGUGACAAAAGGCCUCUCGCUCAGAGUAAAAGGCAGACUGUAUGACGCGUGUGUAUGAACAGCCAUGCUACAUGGCAGUGAAACAUGGGCUGUGACUGCUGAGGAUAUGCGUAAGCUCGCAAGAAAUGAAGGCAGUAUGCUCCAAUGGAUGUGUAAUGUCAGUGUUCAUACUCAACAGAGUGUAAGUACCUUGAGAGAAAAGCUGGACCUAAGAAGCAUCAGAUGUGGUGUGCAAGAGAGACGUUUGCGCUGGUAUGGUCAUGUGGUGAGAAUGGAUGAAGAUAGUUGUGUGAAAAAGUGCCACACCCUAGCAGUUGAGGGAACCUGUGGAAGAGGCAGACCCAGGAAAACCUGGGACGAGGUGGUGAAGCACGACCUUCAAACUUUAGGUCUCACUGAGGAAAUGACUAGAGACCGAGACCUCUGGAAGUAUGCUGUGCGUGAGAAGACCCGGCAGGACAAGUGAGACCAUAACCCAUGGCCUUCUACACGGGAUGUAGCCAGUCCACUUAUGCAUACCUUCCCUUCUUGGGACACAAAACUCUACUUGUGAAGACCUGUUGAGGCAAGUGAGAAUCAGAAUCGAAAUGGAUCAAUGGAAAUUGCAGCAGAGAUACCAGUGCCGGUGGUACGUAAGAGAACCAUCCGAAUGUGGCCGUUGCCACCGCUGCCCCGACUGGCCUCGUGCCGGUGGCACAUAAAAAGCACCAUCCAUUCGUGGCCAUUGCCAGCUUCGCCUGGCCCCCAUGCCGGUGGCACAGAAAAAGCACCAUCCGACUGUGGCCAUUUGCCAGACUCGUCUGGCACCUGUGCCGGUGGCACGUAAAAAGCACCUACUACACUCAUGGAGUGGUUGGCAUUAGGAAGGGCAUCCAGCCAUAGAAACAUUGCCAGAUUAGACUGGGCCUGAUGCAGCCUUCUGGCUUCCCAGACCCCAGUUGAACCGUCCAACCCAUGCUAGCAUGGAAAGCGGACGCUAAACGAUGAUGAUGAUGAUGAUGAUGAUGAUAUAUAUAUAACUAUAAAUAAGGGUAUCUGAGAGACACCACCAUGCCAAAAUAGCAGUCAAACCCUGACUCUAAAAACCACCUAAAAUGUUCAUAUCGCACCACAUAUAUAUAUAUAACGGGAAGCUUUAUGAAAAUAGACAAAAGACGAAGGCAGGUUUACGGAAAUAAACAAAAGACAUAUAUAUAUAUCCCAUGCAUCCCUCUUCAGUUGAGCAUUCCUAAUCUUGUGGGCUUGUAAGUGCUAGUGCCAUGUAAAAGUACACAUGCCAGAGCUGUGUUAAAGCACACAGUACACUCUGUAAAAAGUGGCUGGUGUUAGGAAGGGCAUCCAGCCAUAGAAACCAUUACAAAACAGACAUGGAUCCUGAGCAGACUUCAGCUGGCUGGUUCCUGUCAAACUGUUCAACCCAAGCCAGCAUGGAAAACAGAUGUUAAAUGAUGACAAUGAUGAUGAUGAUGAUGAUAUAGGAUACUGUCUAGGCCUGUGGUAAAUAUCAUGUAAUUGAUGGUGUUAAAAGCAAAGCAGUCUUGAUCCUAUCAAGCUGCUUUCAAUUUAUAUGAUUGGAUAAUUGUUGGGCUUUAUCGACUCGGCUCACUGAAGGUAUUGUCAUGAAUUAUGAUUCAUAAUAUGAAAUAUGAACCACGAGUGUAAAUUAAUUUCUAUAUUUAAACUAAGGUAGGGCCAUUAACACAAUAGAUGUAUAUGAACGAGAAAGUGUGUAAUCAGUGAUUGCUCUUUAUUCCAUUCAGUUAAAAUCUAAAAUCUAUGAAUGAAUGACAUAUGGAAAAGAGAACAAGAGAUGAGUAAUCAACUUACCCACUUUGGAACUUUUUCCAUAUGUUCUUUGUGUCUGCACUUACAAAUUGUGUGUGUGUGUGUGUAUGUGUGUGUGUGUGAUUUUUCUUCUACUGCAAAAAAACUCUUUUGGCUGCAACACACAUAUAAAAAAAAAGCAUACACCGAAACCUUUUUCUCACAUGUUACUUUGAAUCUUUCAUAUAAUGAAAGGCACAAAGUAACAUGUGAUCCUUUUUUUCCUUUUUCCCUUCUCUCCCCUUUAUUUGUAUUAUGCAUGGCAAAAUUAUCUUGUGAAUACGUACACCAAUAUAGUUUCAGUAUGAUUAUAAUAUGAAAAGUAUUCAUGUGCAAAUGUAUUUUUGUUUUUUUUUAUUCUCUUAUGUAUAAAAACAGAGAAUAAUACCCUUAUGUUAAAAAGUUAAACUUGUUUUAUUUAAACAAAAAAAUAUAUAUGUAUAUAUAUAUAUAUAAAAUUUAAUGCAUUUUCAGCCUUCUCUUACUAUAUUCCCUACGUAUAUAAAUUUAUACUUUUACAUUGUCAAAUAGUAUAUUCCUGGUUAUGGCAUACAAUCAUUCAGAAAGUUGGCAUUGGUUUUGCAUCUAAAAUUCUACCAGGCAAUGUAGACAACUCAUCAAACCUGUUGGUCAGAAACACAUAGCCUCUUGACCAACAUACCUUCUCUCCUAGCGCUGUGGCUUUAGGGUCAGGGUUUUGACUGCUAUUUCAGCAUGGUGGUAUCUCUCAGAUACCCUAAUUUAUAGUUUUAAAUAAUUAUUACCUUUGUAUGGUAUUUAUUCCCAUACUGGCCACUUGAUGAGAUCGAUAUUUAAAUAUUGAUAUUAUCCUUAUUUAUAAAUAUAUAUAUAUAUAUAUGCUUUUGGUGUGAAUGUUUUUUUAUAUGGCAGUUUUUACAAUCCUGUAAAUAAUAAUAAUGGCAUUUUUAUAUAAGCUUACAGCUUAUGGUGAUCACCGUGCAAUAAACUAAGAAAAAUAGUCUAAUAUAUAUAUAUUAUUGUUGGUUCCCUGUCCUGUUAUUCCUUAUUUGUACUGUUUUUUCUUCAUUUGUAUUGCUUUUACGUCCUGUUCUUGUCACUUGUUUUACCCCUCUGCAAAAGAAUUUUAUUUAAUUCCUUUUGCAGGAAGGACUGUUUCGACCUGGCUGUGUUCUGCCCUUACCUUCGAAAUAUGCAUUGAGUCGAACCAGGGGCAGCUGAUGAAGGGGAAUUUUCCUUGUAUUGUUUGUCCUCUGUUUUUUCAUUGUUAAAAAAAAGUCUGUUUCCUUGUUUGAUUUUAUGUUUUCGUUUCUCGUUGUGUUCUACGUUUAUUUGUGGUGUCCUAUACUCAUAUAUAUAUAUAUAUAUGCUUGUAUAUGUACAUGUAGAUGUAAGUAUGUACAUAUAUGUAUGUAUAUAUGCAUAUAUUUUAUUUAUUUAUUAUAUUGUUAUUAUAUGACCGAACGCACGCGUCGUUUCUCUUCUCCAAGUAAGUUUUUAUUUAUAUAUAUAUAUAUAUACAAUGCCUCCUUCAGUUCUCCCUCCAAUUCCACCUCCAAUGGCCCUUCCUCUCUCAAAUUUCCUUGUCUUGCAAGUUACUUGGCAACCCCACUGGUGUUGGUGUCAUGUAAAAAGCAUCCAGUUCACACAAAAUGGUUGGCAUUUGGAAGGGCAUAAUGAAUAUGGUGCAGGUGUGUGGGUGUGUGGAAAGAAGCUUGUUUCCCAAUCACAUAGCUGUAAAAACCAAGCCAAAAUAGACAGUAGCCUGGGUUAGUCUUCUACCUGGCUGGCUCCUGUCAAACUGUUCAACCCAUGCCUGUAUGGAAGGUGGACAUUAAACGAUGAUAAUGAAUAUGGUGCAGGUGUGUGGGCGUGUGGAAAGAAUCUUGUUUCCCAACCACAUGGUCCUUAGUUUUAGAGGUUGGUCCAAAGAAUUCACACCACUAAAUAUAAAAUUUACUUUUGAUUGUGUAACAACAGAGUAGGACAACUCUCCAUGAACCACCAAAACUCUGACAUGAAUCAGUGGUGUGACCAUCUGGACUGAGCUAUGUAUCACUGCUCUAACUCUAUAUCUGUUGUCUUUCAUAUUUUCUUUCCCACCUGUUAAGUUUCCCCUCUGUCAUUUCUCGACUCACCCUUCUUUUAUAUUCACUUAUUCACUCCACUGCUCCAUUCAGAUGGAUUCCUACUCUUUUUCUCUCCUUUCUAUUUCCCACCACUUUUAAUCAUACCUUUUGAUUCUGACAAUAAUGGGGUCCCUACACAUUUGUUUCAACUUGGUAGCGAUAGCAGCCAAACCUCUUUUAAAGCCACAACCUAAGUUUUUGCAAAAAAAAAAAAAAAAGGGGGCACAUUCAGUAAUGUGGUGUAUUCCUAGGUAUGCCUGAGAAGACAAAAGGGUCACAGCUGGAAUGCUUUUGAUCCUAAAACUGCUCCAUUAGGGUUGACCUGGAGUUAACAAUAUUCAUCAGUUCCUUACUCCCCUCUUUACCUGUUCCAUUGCAUUCUUUGUCAUGUAAAACCACACCAUACCACACACACCAAAUCACAUCAUGCUGCCAUUUGCUCCGCUCUAUUUACUUUUCCAUUAACACCAGUUGUUCACACCUACUUCAGUAACCGUUAAACAUCUAACAAUAAUCCUCACCUCACAGACACGCACCAGAGAAUGGUUGCUCGUUGUGACAGACAAUCAGUAGUAUCUAUUUUUUAAGUGACUCUUGCCUGACUAUCCAGGUGAAACCCUGCAGCCAAUAAACCAAAUGAUUUCAUUAAAAAGGAAAAUCAGUAUUAGCUGAUUAUAGUAAUUUCUAAUUUUGGCACAAGGCCACCACUUUUGAGGGAAUAGGGCUUGUUGAUAACAGAACCUUCUAGUACUUGAUUGAUUCUUUAUUUUGUCAAUUUCAAAAGAAUGGCAGGCGAAGUUGGCCUUGCCCACAUUUGAAGCUACAAAAGAAAGAAAUACUACAAGAUACUACCUCCCCUCCUGACUCUAAUGAUUUUCCCAUUUUGGAAUAAUCCAUUUAGAAUACAUCUAUACUGUUAUAUUGCUUUAUUUUGUAAUAAUGUUAUUAUACAUUCUUCCAGAGUAUAGAUGUAUUCUAAAGAGGUUAUUCCAAAAUGGCAAAAUCAUUAGGGUGUCAGUGAAAGGGAUAAUGUCUUGCAGUAUUUCUUUGAUUUUGUCACUUCAAAUCUAGGCAAGGUCAGUUCUCUCAGUAAGGGUUACUGCUUGUAGAACCAUCAUAGUUGAGAAGGAGAGGAAAGGAAGAUUCUGAAAAAUUGGUGGAGAUUGGCAAAGGACUAAAAUAAUCAGAUGCAGUUUCAGACUGUGGAGGCCUUAUAGAUCAUGUGAUGAAUAUGCAGUCAUCUUUCAUGGUUUGGAUGAGGAUACUGGAGGAAUUGUAUUGGUUAAGAGCUGUCCAGUUUGUAAGUUCUAUAGGCUGUGAUUUUUACCUGAACUUUGCUCAUAAAAGAAUGACUAGCAUUUGACCUGCCUUAACCUUCUCUCAUUCAGAUUACUUCAUCAUAUCUAAAGCUUAUUUAUUCAUGUUGUUUUGAAUUAAUCAUGCUUUAUCUCAUAGCUACAAGAUUUCGAUGAUUUGAUUGUUUAGUUUUGCAAGGGAGAUGCAAGAGGCUGGGUCUGAUCAGUUUUGAACAUAAAGCAUGUUGAAUAUUUGGGCUGGAUGUGGCCAUUUUAAAUGUUAAAGGAUUAAGGCAGUUGGCUCUCGUUGCUUCUUAUAUCCGAAAGGUAGCAAGCUGACAGAAUUAUUACUGUGGUGGACGAAAUGUUUAGCUGUUUAGCAGUAUUUCUUUCAGCUCUUUAUGUUCUGAGUUCAAAUGCCACUGAAAUCAACAUUGCCUUUCAUCCUUUCAGGUUUUGAUAAAAUAAGUACCAGUUGAGACUGGGGGGUCGAUGAAAUCAGCUUCUUCCUCCCUUCAAAACUGCUGGUUUUAUGCUGAAAUUAGAAAGAAAUGUUUCUUAUAGCUGUGUGAUUGAGUGGGGCUGUGGCGAUGGAGACAAUUUUAGCCAUGGCUUGACUGAUGAUGGUGAUGAUGACAGAAUAAUGAUGACUGGAGACAUUGAUGAUGAUGCUGAUAAUGCUGACAGUAAUGUUGUCAAUACUUGCUGAUAACAGUUCUAGCCAUCACAGCAAUAUUAGGUAAACUGAAGACAAAAUAAGACAAAAAGCUUAUUGCCAAUGGCCAAAAUGGUAUUGACGACAAUUAGAACAAAAAAAAAAAAAAAAGUAACAAGUGAAAACUGGUCAAAGAAAGAAAAAAUUAAAAAAAGGCAAAAUUAAAAGAUAGUGAAGUGUAAACCAAAAAUGGCAUACUAAUAUCAAUAAUGUCCAGACUCUUGGAACUCAUUGAAAAUGGUGAGAACUAUUGCCAGAUUUAAGAUUACUCCUACUUAAGUAUUUUUUAACAUGUUAAGCAGUUCUUUGUAUCAUUGAAAAGAAAUCCAUUGUUGAGACUAAGAGAGAAAGCAAGUGGGAGAGACAGAGAGAGAGAGAGAGAGAGAGAGAGAGAGAGGGGGGGAGGAGAGGAAGAAAGAGAAAAAGUAAGGAGUCGGUGUUUAUUAAUAGCCAUAAUUCUAAAAUGUUGCAUUUCUUCAGGUUGUUUGGUUAGGAAGGAAGGAGAAAGCAAGAAGGUAAAUGCGAUAUUUUGAUGCUUCAGACAAGAAUGGUCAUGUGAUUCUAGACAUCUGUGCCAUGAAAACAAACAAAAAAGCUGACCAUUUGGUAUUUUGUAGAUCAGUAGACUGAGCCACACAUAUAUGUACAUACACAUACUAUUUGUAGAAACAAUAGCAUACUGAACACUAUCUAGCUUCAUUUCAGGUUCAAACCUCAGUAGGGUUGACUUUACAAUUUCUCCGAUCAGGAUGAAUGACUUAAAUACCAGUAAUAUUCCUGGCAGACUGAAUCAACUAUAGCCCCUUCCUAGAAAAAAUUAAAUUUUUGUCCCCAUUAAAUACUUAUAGCAGUGUAUAUAAAUUUCAGGUGCCACAUAAGAAGCUCUUGUUCCACAUAAAACACAUUGGUGCCAGUGCCAUGUAAAAAGCACCCAACACACUCUGUAUAAUGGUUGACAUUAGGAAGGGCAUCCUGUCAUAGAAACCAUGCCAAAACAGACAAAUGGAGUUGGGAAACUCUCCAGCUGGUCAGCUCCUUUCAAACCAUCUGACCCAUGCUAGCAUGGAAAAUAGACGUUAAAUGAUGACAAUUUGAAAUUUAAAAUAUCACUUAGUUCUGAACCCUUUUUACGUGCUGGUGCCAUGUAAAAAGCACCCAGCAUACUCUGUAAAGUGGUUGGAAUUAAGAAGGGCAUCCAACUGUUGAAACUAUGCCAAAACAGACAAUAGGAAGCUGGGCAGCUCUCCAACUGACCAGCUCUUGUGAAAUUAUCCAAACUGUGCCAGCAUGGAAAACAGCCGUUAAAUGGUUUGAAAAUUAGAAUAUCACUUAGUUGUGAACCCUUUUGGUAUCUGUCUGAGACAACUCCUAGUUCUAUGACACAAAUUUCCUGUUUUAAAGUAAUCCACCUUAAAAACAUGCUGUACGAUACAUCUUUUAUCAUUUACUUGUUUCAUUCAUUGGAUUGUCACCAUGCUGGGGCACUACCUUGAAGAGUUCUGUCAAACAAAUUGACUCCAAUAAUUGUUCUAUUUUCUAAGUCUGGUUCAUUGGUCGCUUUUGCUGAACUGCUAAGUCACAGGGACAUAAAAAAAAACCAACACCAGUUGCUAAAUGGCAGAGAAGACAAACAGAAACACAUGCACACAUAUACAUAUACGAUGGGCUUCCACACAGUUUCCAUCUAUGAAAUUCACGCACAUCUUCAGUUUUACUUUAGAAAAUCAUGUAGCACAAGCUUUUACAGAUGCCUACUUCUCCGGCAACUUCACAGAUAUUUAUCUUCUAUUAGUUUUAGUCAUUAAACUGUGGCCAUGCUGGGGUACUGCCUUGAAGAAGCUUUAGUCAAAUGAACUGACCUCUGUACAUUUUGUUAUAAGUCUGGUUCUUAUUCUAUCGAUCUCUUUUGCCAAACUGCUAAGUUACGGGGAUGUAAACACGCCAACAGUGGUUGUCAAGCAGUUGUGAGGGACAAACACAGACACACGCACGCACACACACACGCACACACACACACAAACACACACACACGCACGCACACACACACACACACAUUUCUGUCCACAGUUUCUUAUUUCUUUACUGCCCACAAGGGGCUACACACAGAGGGGACUAACAAGGACAGAGAAACAGAUUAAGUCAGUUAUAUCGACCCCAGUGCAUAACUGGUACUUAUUUAAUCGACCCCAAAAGGAUGAAAAGCAAAGUCGACCUCGGUGGAAUUUGAACUCAGAACAUAGCAGCAGACAAAAUACCGCUAAGCAUUUCACCCAGCAUGCUAACGUUUCUGUCCACAGUUUCUGUUUACCAAAUCCACUCACAAGGCUUUGGUCAGUUUGAGGCUAUAGUAGAAAAACACUUGCCCAAGGUACCACACAAUAGGACUGAACCUGGAACCAUGUGGUUGUUGUCUUUUGUAAUGGAAGGUCGUCCAAAUUCAAAAUCAUUUUUGGUAGAUAUUUUUCUUAAUUCAAAAUGCUUGUACUACUCAUGACACUGCAUAUGGUUCAAAGAGUUCUUCCCAUAGGGUUGUCGCAACAUUAGAACAGUCUCAGUAAAAGAUUUUUCUCAACUUGAAAUACAAUUUUACACAAACUAUUAAUUUUUCCAAAUGCUUUUAUUGUUAAACAAGUCCUCCAAAGCAUAUGCUCAAUCAGCACAUGUAAAUCAAUGACUGGUUGAUGUAGUUAAGAUACGAAUAUUAUUAGAUAGAUCAAAAGCACCUAUUUAUAGUGCUGCAGUCACAAGCAUGCUGUGCCAGCUUGUUCGCAUACUAUUUUAAAACUCUUUACUCUUUUACUCUUUUAAUUGUUUCAGUGAUUUGACUGCGGCCAUGCUGGAGCACCACCUUUUUAGCCGAGCAAAUCGACUUAUUCUUUUUACUUAUUCUAUCGGAUUCUUUUGCUGAACCGCUAAGUUACGGGGAUGUAAACACACCACCAUCGGUUGUCAACCGAUGUUGGGUGGACAAACACAAACUCAUAAACACACACACACACAUAUAUAUAUAUAUAUAUAUAUAUAUAUAUAUAUAUAUAUAUAUAUAUAUAUAUAUAUAUAUAUAUAUAUAUAUAUAUAUAUAUAUAUAUAUAUAUAUAUAUAUAUAUAUAUAUAUAUAUAUAUAUAUAUAUAUAUAUAUAUAUAUAUAUAUAUAUAUAUAUAUAUAUAUAUAUAUAUAUAUAUAUAUAUAUAUAUAUAUAUAUAUAUAUAUAUAUAUAUAUAUAUAUAUAUAUAUAUAUAUAUGACGGGCUUCUUUCAGUUUCUGUCAACCAAAUCCACUCACAAGGCUUUGGUGGGCCCGAGGCUAUAGUAGAAGACACUUGCCCGAGGUACCACGCAGUGGGAAUGAACCCAGAACCAUGUGGUUGGUAAGCAAGCUAGUUACCACACAGCCACUCCUGCACCUAUAAAAGCUCAGUUUCUUUUUUGGGAGACUUUGUAUAUUUGUGUGUGUGUACUUGGUGUAAUUUGUAUGUAUAUAUUAAGUCAUUAACUUUUAAUGACUUAAUGCACAAUAUUAUUAUUAUUAUUAUUAUUAUUAUUAUUAUUAUUAUUAUUAUUAUUAUUUAAAUAUUAUGUAUUCAUAUUACAUAUAUGAUAUUUGUUUAUUUUAUUACAUUACCAUUGGUGAUGAAUAUUCCAUAUUAUUAAACUUAUAAAUGAUUUGACUAAACGUUAAUUUAUUUUAAAUCUGAUUUGUCUCCAAUUCGAAUUUAAUGCAAGUGUCAUAUUUGUGAUAUGAUGGUAAAAUCUUGUUUUCUAUAUUUCCAUAUCUCAUCAUAUUUUAGAAAGUUUUUGUUUACUUUGGGAUGAUGUUAAACAGAUUAGAAUUCAAGAAAAUAAAUCUCAAUUCCUUCUUUAAAUAUAACUAAUUUUAAUCAGUAUAAAAUUAAUAUUUUAUAAUAGGAGAGAAAUGUGUCCACGUGGAUGAUGUGCACUUGCAUUUAAUGAUUCUGCAAAGAAAGAGAUUUGGAAAUGCCAUUAUGAAAGACUACUGAAUUUGGAGAAUGAAUGGGAGGAGGAGAGUCUGUCAAAUGUUGACCCAACUGAGGAACCACCUAUCCAAAUCGACAAUAUCUUGAUAGAUAAAUUAAUUAAGGAUAUGAAGACAGUGAAAGCCUUUGGUUUGUCAGGAACCACUGCUGAGAGGCUUAAAAUAUCUAGAGGUGUGGGUUAUGAUCUAGUCAUCUGUUUUGUAAAUCAGGUAGUUCAUGCAGAAGUCAUAUCCAUACUGGUGUAGCAGUACCAUAGUCAACUAUCACAAAGGUAAAGGUGAUGCCUUAGAUAGAAAUAUUUACAGAGGUAUCAAAUUGUUGGAUCAGGUGAGGAAAGUUAUGGAGAGGGUCAUAGCCCAACUAAUUAGGAACAGAGUUAGUCUAGGUGAGAUGCAGUUUGGUUUUGUGCCAGGGAGAAGUGCCACUGAUGCUAUAUUUGUUGUAAGGCAGCUUCAGGAGAGAUACAUACCCAAAGAUAAACCUCUAUUCUUGGCUUUUGUUGACUUGGAGAAAGCUUUUGACAGGGUUCCCCAAUCCCUUAUCUGGUGGUCAAUGUAGAAACUAGGGAUAGACGAGAGGUUAGUAAGAGCUGUACAAGCCAUGUAUGGGGAUAUUACUGGUAAGGUGAGGGUUGGCAAUGAGUACAGUGAAGAAUUCAGGGCACAAGUAGGUGUUCAUCAAGGAUCAGUCCACAGCCCCCUUUUGUUCAUCAUAAUUCUCUGGGCAAUAAAAGAGGAAUUCAAGACAGGCUACCCCUAGGAGCUCCUGUGUGCUGAUGCCCUUGUUCUUAUAGCUGAAUUACAACCAGAACUAGAGAAGAAGUUCCAGGUAUGGAAGUAAGGUUUAGAAUUGAAGGGCCUUAGAGUUAACCUAACAAAAACCAAAAUCUUAGUAAGUAGGCAGAUAAAUUACAAAUCCCUUCAGGUAGAUGGCCCUGUUCGAUUUGUAGAAAAGGCAUAGGUAGAAACUUCCUAAGAUGCACCCAAUGUAAGCUUUGGACACAUUAGAGGUGCAGUGAUGUUAGAGGAAGGUUAACAGGGAAAAUGGCUUUUGUGUGUGGAAGAUGCUCAAGUUCAAUAAAUACUGAAAAUGUACAAAAAAUAGACUCCAUCAACUGCCAGUGGGGUAAGCUAGAGGUAGCAGAUAGCUUCCGUUAUCUAGGUGACCAAGUUAGUAGUGGAAGUGGAUACUCCGAGAGCAUAGCUGUGAGGCUGGGCAAAAUUCAGAGAACUCCUACCAUUGCUGGCAACAAAGGGCCUCUCUCAGAGUGAAAGGCAGAUUGUAUGAUGCCUGUGUGCAAACAUGCUGAGGACAUGCUGUGACGGCUGAGGCUAUGCAUAUGCUUGAAAUAAAUAAAGCCAGUAUGCUUUGCUGGAUGUGUAAUGUCAGUGUGCAUGUUUGACAGAGUGUAAGCAUCUCGAAAGAAAAGUUGGGCAUAAGAGGCAUCAGAUAUAGUGGGAAAGAGAGAUGACUGUGCUGGUAUGGUCAUAUAAUGCAGAUGGAUGAAGACAGCUGUGUAAAGAAGUGCUAAUCUCUAACUGUGGAGGGAACUUGUGGGAUGAGGUGGUGAAGCAUGAUCUUUGAACUUUGGGCCUCACAGAGGCAAUGACUAAUGACCGAGACCUUUGGCAAUUUGCUGUGCUUGAGAAGACUCAUCAAGCCAAAUGAAAUUAUAGUCGUGGCUGAUGCUGAUGUCACAUAACUGGCACCUGUGCUGGUGGUAUGUAGAAAGUACCUUUCAAGCUUUGGGCCUCAUGGAAGCAAAUUUACUGAGAUGCUUUUGAGUGUUGGGCCUCAUGGAGGCAAUGACUGAGACCUUUGGCAUUAUGUCGUGCUUGAGAAGAAGACCCAUCAAGCCAAGUAAAAUCACAGUGUCAUGCAAAUGGCACUCAUAGAAUCCGUGCCAAAUCAGCAUGGAGUCUGGUGCAGCCUUUCAGCUUGCCAGCCCUAGUCAAACUGUCCAACCCAUAUCAGCAUGGACAACAGAUGUUAAAUAAUGAUGAUGGUGAUGAUGAUGAUGAUGAUUAUGCCAGCUGUCCAUCACAGUAGAACUGAUACCAGUGCUGGCUCCACAUAAAAAGCACUCAGUACACUCUGAGGAGUGGUUGGCAUUAGGAAGGGCAUCAAACCAUUGAAAUCAUGCCAGAACAGACAAUGGGGCUUGGUGGGGCCCCUGGCCUUACCAGCUCCAGUUAAACCAUCCAACCCUUGCCAUCAUGGAAAAUAGGCAUUAAAUGAUGAUGAUGAAUUUACAAAGUCAAAUAUGUGCAGUAUAGUUCCAUAAUCAUUCUCUGAAACAAAGAGGCAUUCUUUUUGUUUCUAGUCUCAUUCGAAAUGAAUACACAAAUAUUCACAUACCUUUGUCUCUGUAUGUUAGAGAUAUAUUGGAUACACUAUUGCAAUACAAGUUGAUUGACAUUUCUUAAUCAAAUCCUCAAAUGACUCAAAGGUCAAUAUUCCUUCUAAUUCAUAACAUUAUCCACUAGAGUGUUCAACAAUAUUAUUUUUUUUCACUUGUUUUGUAUCCAUAUAGCCAGACCUACAUCACAGAAAUAAGCUCACUUUUCUUCCGCUCAGCAAAAGAAAAACAAAUAUAUUAUUGAAAUUGGUUGCUAACUAUUAACUAAAUACAGAUCCAUCCUCUAUUAGAAGUGAUUACAUAUCUAGGAUGAUACAUGUUCUUACAUUCAAGGUUUCAUUCAAAGGAAACCUAAUCAUGUGUUAGGCUCUGUAGAUACACUUAGCUAAGCUUGGUAAUUAAUGUACUGUGCAAUCUCUUUUUCUUCUCAUAAAACUCAUUGUUUUCUGCCCUCACCCUCACCAAAUAUUAUUAUAAGCCCUUUAUCCUAUUUUUCUUUUCCACUAUUCGAGUAUGAUCGUUACCAGCAUCGCCUUACUGGCACUUAUGCCUGUGCUAGUAGGGCACCAAGAACACCAUCCGAGCGUGAUCGUUGUGAUCGUUGCCAGAGCAGCCAACUGGCUUCCGUACCCGUAGCACUUAAAAUGGCACCAUUUGAGCGUGAUCAUUACCAACGUCACUUCACUGGCACCUGUGUUGGUGGCACGUGUAAAAAGAUUCGAGCGAGGUCAUUGCCAGUACCACCUGACUGCAGGUGGCACGUAAAAAGCACCCACUACACUCUCGGAGUGGUUGGAAUUAGGAAGGGCAUCCAGCUGUAGAAACUCUGCCAGAUCAAGACUGGAGCCUGGUGCAGCCAUCUGAUUGCCAGCCCUCAGUCAAAACCGUCCAACCCAUGCUAGCAUGGAAAACGGACGUUAAAUAAUGAUGAUGAUGAUGACUGUUGUAUCUAUCUGCAAAUUAAACCCUAAUCCUAUCCUCCCUAAGUUUCUUCUCAAUCCUAUAUGUGAUUCUUUUCUUGUCAAUGUUUUCCUUUCAACAACGAUGAUUCAAAUUACAUCAAUUGUUCUAAUCUCACUUGAAUAUCUUUGUCUUCUAAUCUAAGGACACCUGAAAUUCUCUCCCUUAACCAUUCAAAUAAACAAAAUUUUGUUUAGGGGUGCCUCAUAACACGUUUAGCACUUUAACCUUCAUAGCAGCUUUACUCCAUAAACAAUUCAUUCAAGAGAUAAAGGCUGACCUUCAAAUGAUUUAUUGGAUGUGAGGUAGAAAAAUUUAUUUUAAAACUUUUUACUUUGUUUAUAAGUAUUGCAUCAAUUGAUACUUAAAAACAAAAAAAUGAUAAUUUUAACUGGUCCUUUGUUAAUUUAACCUUUUAAAUUUCUGCAGAAACAUUGAGUCACUGCUCAGCCGAAGAACAGCUUGCUUGCAUAUAUGUUGUUAGAGUGAAGUAGGAAUACAGUAACAAAGCUGACAGCAACAGUAAAGAAUUCUGUUGACACAAACCACAUAUGUUGAGCAUAGUCAAGCCAUACUAAUGUAGUAAAUUAAAAGAAUGUUCUUGAAUAUUACAAAAAUUGCUUGUGUUUAAUUUUUUCCUUUUAUUUCCUGAAUGACAACUAAAAGUUAGAUCAUAAUGGAUCUUGUUGGUAAAAAUAAUGCAAUAAUAAUAAUAAUAAUAAUAAUAAUAAUAAUAAUAAUAAUAAUAAUAAUUAUAAUAAUAAUCACACAGCAUGUAGUUUGAGAAUGCAAGUUAAGAUACAACAGGAUUGAAAUAUUCAAACUUUGCCUUGAUUGUUUUCUAAAAUAAGAUGUGAAAUUUAGACUAAAUGUGUUUGAGAAAAUGUACAUCGAUAAUCAACUUGAUAAUGUAUGUUGGAGAAGUGCUUUGGAAAAUAUACAUUAAUAUUUUCAUAUUUUGUGUUAAUGGAAUAAUUUGUGUUGUAGAAUGUGUGGAAGAAGAUAAAUGGCCAGAGAUAAAAAGAAAAGUGAGAUAAAUGAAUUUAGACCAAAGAAGAGAGAAAAUAAAAUGUGAUAGCAAAGUAAAAGCUUAUAUAUAUGGUUGGUUGUAAAUGAAAAUCAUAAUCAGAGACAGACAUUUCUGGUGUCGGAUGAUGCCAAGAGCAAAUGAAAAUUAUUUUUUUACAAUAUAGUCCAAAAGUGGUUCAGCUGAAUACUAGUUUCUGAUUGGUUAAAAUAACACACAUGAUAAUGAGGAAUCUAAAAUGGCCAUGUUUUUUUUUUUUGUCAAUCUAAUAAAAAAAAUGUCUCACAGACAAUUAGUCAGAACUAAAAUUUCUGAUGGAGCAGAAUAAAUUGCAUAAGGUGAAACUAAAAUAUCCUCUGUGUAAAAAUCCUGACACAAGUAAAAAUAAUGAUGAAGUAAGAAUAUCAAAAAUCUCUCUGUCCUUUAUUUAUGUAUCCCAGAAGGAUGAAAGGCAAAGUUGACUUUGGUGGGAUUUGAACUCAGAACACAAUGUACUAGAAUUGUAAUGCAUUUUUUUAAUGCUCUGAUUAUUCUGCCAAUUGUCUACCAUGAUGUUACAUUUAUAGAAAAUCUAUCUCACUAAUAAAGCAAUCAUUUAAGAAAUAUUUGUAACAAGAGCAGAUAUACAUCUUUUAAUGUUAUUGUUGCUUGGCUUUUGGCCAGCUGUGCUUUGUGCAAACUUAUGAUCAAAGGUAUCCUAGCCAUGCCAGCCAUGACCAUUCAUCCUUUUUUAUAAACAUAGUUUUACCUUGGAUUACAUCGUCCAACAAUGCCUUUCUGUUUUAAGACAAUAUGGUGUAAUUUGAGGGAGAUUUUGUUGCUGUUUCUAGCAGGUCAAGCGACUAUGUAACUUCAUACCUAUAUAUCUAUAUGAAGUGUUGGUAUCAUUCUCUGUUACUACACAGAAUUCUAUGAAUAUUACCUUUGUGAAAUUGACGGAGUAAUCACAACACUAUAAGAAAUAUCUAUAUUCUACUUCAGUUUUAAGUACUUUUCCUUUUGUUUUUAAACUAUCAUUCUCUCUCUCUCUCUCUCUCUCUCUCUCUCUCUCUCUCUCUCUUUCUCUCUCUCUCUUUCUCUCUCACACACUCAUAAUCUUAGGUAUUCCUUUUGUAGUAAGUAUGCAAUUUUAUCGUUACUGUGAGCAGCAAACCAAGUGGAUGCACCAAAACUUUUUAACCUUGCUGUGGCAAGAAAAGCGGGAUGGAUCUGACCAGUUUCUAGUUUCCUUGGAGCUUCACCAGCGAACAGUCUCCUCAGUACAGAGAGAGAUUAGUAGUUAUUAAUAGUAUAUGCAAACUCAGAUACUGCUAAGCAAGUUUAUCUAAUUUGCAUAACAGUACAUGUUUUGAGCCUGUGUUUACUUAGUUGAUUAAUCAUGCACUAUACACUAGAAAUUAGAGCGAUCCUACGUUUCUCAUCUAUGGUGAGAUAAGAAGUUGCUGAUGUACUGUUUAAUUAUUUGCAACAAACAUUGUGUUCAUAAUUGAAAAAAGGAAGGCUACGAAUGACCUAUCCUUUUUUCCCCCUGUCCUUCUAAUUGUUGUUUCUCCUGUCCGCCUUUUUAUCAUCCAUCUGUUCAAAUAUUUUAUUGUCCUCCAUUUUAGUUCCGUUCUUUAUAUUUAUAUACUAGUAGAGAGUUAUAGCCAAAAAAUAGCAAAAAAAUGCAUUAAAAAUGGAAAGAAAAUGAUGGUAAAUUUUUUUAAAAAUCGUUGACUCAUCGUAGACGUUUUUAGAGAGUUACUUCCCUUAUAUAAUAGCGAAAAAAUGCAUUAAAAUGGAAAAAAAUGAUGGUAAAUUAUUUUUAAAAUCGUAGACUCAUCGUAGACGCACGCUAAUACCUAGAAGGGCUCGAUAUGAAUCACGACUAUAAGAUACCCGGUUUUGGUUAAACUGCACUGCAAAAUGUGGGAGUAGUUAGGAAUCUAAAUCGUAGGAGACAGACACACAACUUCACUUUUAUAUAUAAAGAUAUAGUGGUGUACAUACACACCUAUGCUCACCUAAUAGUAAGCAUGUAUCUAAAUUUUGAUGACGCUUUACUCUAUCUUUUGUCCUCUCAUACUUUCUUCCUCUUUUCUUUUUCUUGCUCCCCCUCUCUCUCAUAUUUCUUGGCCCUCUCUUUCUUCAACUCCUACUUUUCUUCCUCGUUUAUCUCCCCUGUACCUUUCCCUUUGUCUCUUUGAUUUUUCCCUAAUCCUUCAAUCCUGCUGCCACUUACCCUUCUCUCCUUCCACGUGAUCAGUGUCCGGCCAGCCAUGAUCUUUCUUUCUUUGCCUAACUGCCGACCGCCAACACCUCUUAUGUCCAUCUCCUAUGUUCCUACCUUUAGGCUUUCACUUCAUUCACACCAGCUCAAUUUGACUCUUUCUCAGUCGAAAGACACCUGUUGUUAUAUUCAUGUUGUUUGUAUUUGUAAUUGUGUAUCAUGUUCUCUGUUUUUCAUCUUUGUUCCCAUACACAUUUGCUAGCUUUCUUACAAAAAAUCUAAUGCUCUUAGCUUAGACUUUUUUUGGGGCAACCAGAUCGAACUGUAUCAAGUGUAACUACCUGAAACAGUAAGGAUAUCUGGUAACUUGACUGAAGAAAGAAGGCCAUGAACGACCCAUCCUUUUUUUCCCUGUCCUAAUUGUGUCUUCUGUCUGCCUUUGUAUCAUCUAUCUGUCUCAAUGUUUUAUUGUCCUCUAUUGCAUUGUAGUUCCAUUUUGUAUAUUUAUAUACACAUAUAACGGCAUAUAUUUGUGCUCACACACACACACACACACACACAUAUAUAUAUACACUUUAUUUUAUAUUUAGUUUGCAAGAUUUUUUAUGUGAAUUUGUGUGUUGUAUAUUUUGCUGUGUUUGGGGAGAGUCAUUCUCUUUUAAUGCCUCAUUAAUUAACACACCCACAGGUCUGAUUUCCACUCAUUUACUUAUUUAAAAAAAAAUUUAUUUAUUUUGUUAUUAUUUUUUUUAAUAGUAAAUAAAUGAGUGGAAAUCGAACAGGUGUGUUAAUUAAUAAGGUAUUAAAACAGAAUGACUCUCCCCAGACACAAUAAUACACACACACACACACACACACACACACACACAUACAUGUAUGUUUUAUGUCUAUGUAUCUAUAUGUCUGUGUAUAUUUAUAUGUGUGUGUUUAUGUAUAUUUAUAUAUGUGUGUGUAUGUACAUUUAUAUAUAUAUAUAUAUAUGUGUAUGUAUAUAUGUAUAUGUAGGUAUCUGUGUGUAUAUUGAUGAAAGUCUGUUUCUAGUGGCAAUUUAAAUUCUGCAAUGCAAUGCCUCUCAUAUCACUACAUUAUAUUAUUAGUAGGUCUCAGUUAAAGUUGUCAAAACUUGGCUAUAUGCAAUAUAAUAUACUCUUCCACAUCAAAACAACAUUAUUCAAGAUCAAAGUUAAUUCUUAUCGACAGCUAUUUGCACUUUUACACAAAGAUUGACAACAUUUUCCACUGAAAUAGAAUAUUACACACACAUACACGCAGCACAUAUUCACACACACACAAACACGUUUGGUUGGGGCUGGAUGGGUGUAACUUUAUUUUGUGAAUGAAAUGAUGGGAAAAUGUUGCUUCAAAAUUCACAAUAGAUGAAAGCUAACUUAAAAUAAUAAUAAUAAUAACAAUAACAACAACAAUAACAACAAUAAUAAUAAUAAUAAUAAUAAUAAUAAUAAUAAUAAUAAUAAUAAUAAUAACAACAAUAAUUAUAAUAAUGCUGAUAGGAGCAGUUAUUCAUUCUAUAUUCAUGUUGUAAUGUAUAAUCGGAUAGAAGGAUAGGAUUUUACGAGGGCUAACGCAAAAGAACAACAGUAUUAAUGAGCAAAAUAUUAACGACAAAAGAAACUUGAAAGGAAUUUGAAUUUUAAAAGUGCAUGUGAGUCUUUAUUCUUUAUGAACUCAGUAUUUUUUUUUUUCAAUUUUCUUUCUGUAUUCAUAUAAUUUAAUUAUCUCCAAAAAUAGAAAUUUAUUUUAAAUUAACCCAGCAAACCCUAUACAAAUUAUAUUUUCCAGAGACUUAAAAUUUUCAGUUUUCCCCAUGGAAGUGUCAUGUUGGUGCUUCUUCAUUCCCAGAGUUUCAGAAAGUGAAAGUAUUUAUCUCAUCAAAAGUAGGUGGUUUCCAGGGGCCUGGGGGAAAAAAAAAUCACAUUUUAUUUAAAGACUAUAAACAAUAAGACAAAAAUACUUCAGAUCAGUUAUCAACUGACAAUACAUGACUUUUAUACAAGUUAUAUAUGAUGGCAUUAUGCAUAGAGGGGAAAAAGAACCUUUCAUUCAAUUUUUAAAGCUAAGUAAAAUAAUGAGGCAAAAGCAUUUUAAGUCAAUCAUUUAUUGAAAAUACAUGACAUGCAAAGACUGGAAACACCUUACAUAGUAUCGUGGCAUUACAUGUAUAUUCAGUAUUUUUCACGUUGAUGAUUAAGAUGAAUAUUGCAGCCGAUACCACAAAGAAACUCUGCCACAGUCUUGUGAUUCUCCCGUCCAAUGAUUUGAUUUUUUUCUGUGAUAUGUAUUUUUUCCUGGAUUUUGGUUUUGAGGUGAAGUGACAAUAUAACCACUCCUGUAAAAGGGGAAUAUCAAAGCAUGAAAGUGAAACUAGUAGUGAGAUGGAAGAAUACUGGCCGGAUUGUCAUCAAAUUACAUUCCUUGGUUAAUAUUGGUUUCAAAGUUUGACACAAGGCCCUGCAAUUUCGGAAGAAGGGAUAAAUUGAUUACAUCAAUCCCUGUGCUCAAUUGGUACUUAUUUUAUCGAUCUUGAAAGGAUGAAAGGCAAAGUCGGCCUUGGCAGCAUUUGAACUCAGAACUUAAAGACAGGCGAAAUGCAGCUAAGCACUUUUGACCAGCGUGCUAAUGACUCUGCCAGCUUGUCACAUUUUCCUGGAUUGAUAUCAACAAAGCAUAAGGUGUUAGAUUGCUGAGCAAAAUGCUGAGUGACAUUUUGUCCAUCUGUAUGAUACAAGUUCAAAUUCAAUCCAAGGUCGACAUUGCCUUUCAUUGUUUUGGAGUUGAUAAAGUAAGAACCAGUUGAGCAUUGAGGUUGAUGUAAUUGACUUACCCCCACCCACUAAAUUACUGGCCUUGUGCCAAAAUUUGAAACCAGUAUUAACAAAGCAUGGCAAUUGUUUUGAACCCUUUGCUUGUCAAGAUCAUUUUCAUGACUUUUAAUUAGUCCUUGUUUCAUAUGCUUUGAGUAAAAUGUCAGUUACAUCUCAUAAGUCCCAAGUCACUCUGGGGGUUAAAAAAAAAGUAAUGUGUAUCAGAUAUGAAGCCUGAACACCAGGGAAAUAUGUCCGGUGUAUCACUUGUGAUACACAGGACAAUCAACUACUCAAGUUUCAAAUGUUAAUAGAAAAGAGAAGGAUUAACAGGAAAUACACAAGAAACUUCUGCAAAUUUUAGGCAGUUCAGCAACUCAAGUUUCGAAUGUUAAUAGAAAAGAGAAAAUGAGUAACAGUAAAUAUGCAAGACACUUUUGCAAAAUCUGUGAUACAUUUGACUUUGUCUUAGUGUGGUCAGGAUAUAAAGUUCACUGAAGACUUGCAUCAUGUGGAUGAGAUGUGGAUGUAUACUAAAAGAAUUUGUCACGAGAAAUCUUUGAUAAGAGACAUAUCCUCUAAAGAAAACGAUCUUUGUGUGUAAGUCAGCAGUCUCAAGUAUAUUUUGAUGUUUGACAUGAGUGUAAAAUAGAGUGUUAGCCGAAACUGUUGCUGCAAUACAUACUUUGAGAGACUAGCAGAGAUACCAAGCAUUGCUCAGGAUUAAAAUGGUAUAGUUUUAUAUUGUCUUACUCGCUUCAAUCAUGUAACUGUGGCCAUUCUGGAGCCUCACCUUUAGUUGAAGUAAUUGAACUCAGGAUUUAUUCUUUGUAAGCCUGGUACUUAUUCUAUCGGUGUGUUUUGCUGAACUGCUAAAUCACAGGAACGUAAACACAUCAACAUUGGUUGUCAGGCGUUGGUGGGGGAACAAACACAGACACAAACAUAUACGACAGUUGUCUUUCAGUUUUCGUGUAUGAAAUCCACUCACAAGGCUUUGGUCAGCCUGAGGCUAUAGUGUGUGUGUGCGGGAAGGUUUUGGCAUUUAUAAGCAGCCAUCUUUCCCUUUUUCUAGCAAGGAUGUAAUCAAUUUGGCUAGUGUGUCUGCCAGAUCGGUAGGUGACUAGGUGACUGGAAGGUUUCCCAAAGUUAGUAUUGCAAACCAUAAGAUCAUUUGCAUCGCAGCAGCGACCAAGACCUUUGGAAAUACUCUGUAUGUGAGAAGACCAGGCAGGACAAGUGAGCCCAGCCCACUUAUGAAUGCCUUUCCUCCCUUGGACACAAAGACCUGUUGAGGCCAGCGAAGUCGAUAUAGAACCUCAUCCGACGACAGGCACCCAUGCCAACCCCCUUUGCUUGCAAAGACAUGUUGGGGCAAGCGAAAUCGAAAUCGAAUUGAACCAGCCAGGAUCCCUGGUCUGGUGGUACGUAAAAAGCACUAUCCGACUCGUGGCCGAUGCCAGCUCCACCUCGUCUGGCUUCCGUGCCGGUGGCACAUAAAAUACACCAAUCCGACCGUGGCCGUUGCCAGCCUCCCCUGGCACCUGUGCAGGUGGCACGUAAAAAGCACCCACUACACUCACGGAGUGGUUGGCGUUAGGAAGGGCAUCCAGCUGUAGAAACACUGCCAGAUAAGACUGGAGCCUGGUGCAGCCUUCUGGCUUCCCAGAUCCCCGGUCGAACCGUCCAACCCAUGCUAGCAUGGAGAACGGACGUUAAACGAUGAUGAUGAUGAUGAUAAUGAACUCCAGCAGCCUGGUUCCCUCCUCAUUGCAGGAACCAUAACCGUAGCCUCCAUGUACACCAUGGAAGCCCCCUGUAUAUAUAUAUAUAUAUAUAUAUAUAUAUAUUAAUUUCAAAUCUUCAUUGAAAUUGAGGAUGGCACAUCUAAACUCCCAACACUCACUUUGGGCCUUUAGUAUUGUAUUUGUUUGAACCUGAAUCCAGGACUUGUCCUGGAAAAUACAGCAUAUGGCAACCCUAUUGUUUCAACACUGGCCCUUACUUCUACAAUUCUAAUGCAUUCGAAUCUUUAAGCUGUACUACAAACAGAAAUGUCAUCAUAUAGUUUCGUUUUACUGAUGUUUAAUCUACUAAAAUUUAUGGAGAUUGCUGAUCAAAUUAGUUUCACUUUAGGAUCACAAACUGAAAGAAUGCAUCAAUCUCAAUAGUUUUAGUUUCGAUUCAUAUUUACUCUUCACUCUUUCUAAACAAGCUUGUCUUUUAUGUUAUUUUUGUCCAGUGUGCCUAUUGUGUGAUUUACACUUCAUGGCAGUUGACGGACGUUAAUAAAGUCUUCAGUGUCGAUCAGCUCAAUAUCUAGAUGAGCAUGACUGGUUUUUAUAAAUUAGUUGAAAGCUAGACUACGAAAGAGAAUGGUAUUUUAUAGUGGUUGAUAUUUAUGACUUUUUUAGUCCGAAUUUCACCAGAGUUGAAAUUGUCUUUAAUCGAAUGUGAUAGAACCGUCAUUAUUAUGGUACAUACGGUUAAAAACAAAAGAAUACUGCUACUCUCUCUCACAAAGAAAUACAUAGACAUAUACAUACAUGUGUGUGCGUGUGUGAUAGGCAACCGUUUCAUGUUUAACAGCUCAACCCUGAUUGAACAGACCUAUGAUCAAAGACUAUUGAGCUGUGACAAUUCCAUCUGUUUAAAGGUAUCUAGAACUACAUUAUCCACUGUUCUUAGGCAUUUUUUUUUAAGACGAAAAAUUGAGUUUUGAGGGAGAUUUGGCUGCUACGAAAAACGCAAUAAAAAUUAGGGCAAACUAACUGUUUCAGAGAUAUUCACAUUUUUAUGAUGGUUAUGGACAAAGGUAAAACGUGUGCACACCACCUAACCCUAACCCCAAAACUAAGCCUAAAAUUUACUCUAACCCUAAAAGUAGCCCUAACACUAACCAGCAUGCACACACUUUACCUUCACCCAACAUUCUAUGCUAAAUUACAAUACUACAACAUGGAGUUCUACCAAAUUCUGCAGAAUGUCCAUGUUAUCACUCACCAAGUUUUUUUGUGUGCUGACAUUAACACAUGGAGAUGUCGAAAGAUUGUGUCUUGUCCUCAUCAUCCAAGAGGAGAAUGUGGUUUCACUGUUUCCAACUGCCAGAAUACCUUUUUGGAGAGAGCACAUAUUCCUACCUGGAAAGUACUCUUGUGCAUUAAUCAUUUUCUUGACCGGACAUGGAAUCGCAGGAUUAUGGUUGAAAACCUUGAUAUAAGUUUACAUACAUCUGAUGGUCGUUUUGCCGUGAGGUUUGUCAAUAUUGGCUGGAAGAGGUACAAGACAAAAUUGGAGGUUCAGGCAUUGAAAUUGAAGUUGAUGAAACAGUUAUUGUCCACCGCAAAUACAACUGGGGGGUGAUGAGUAAAAUUGGCAUGGUUGUUCGGUGGAAUUUAAAGAGUUUCAGAAAAAACAUUCAUGGUGCCUUUAUCUUCUGAUUGUGAUGAGGGCAAGUCAAGGGAUACUGCAACUCUUAUUCCUCUUUUCAUUCAUCAUGCUUAGCCGGGGUCAGUGAUUUUAGUGACUGUUGACGGGCAUACAUGAGACUCAUGGAAUAUGGGUUUAGCCAUUACCAGAUCAAUCUUAGUGAAUAUUUUGUUGAUCCUGACAAUCAAAGUAUUCAUACUCAGACUGUUGAAAGACUUUGGAGAAGUGUGAAGGAAAUUGUUCGGAGACCUGGGAUGAGGUGUAAGUACCUCAUGCAGUAUGUGGUGAGGUAUCUGUUCAUUCAGUUUAUUCCGAAUCAUACUGAACGGCUCUAUCACUUUCUUAUGGAGAGCAGCAAACUUUAACUAGGACUCUCUUUAAAACGUGGAUAUAUUUGAAAUGGUAAGCUUGCUCUAUUUUUUGUUACUUGUUUUGUAAUACACAUAGAAUGUUGUCUUGCAAGUUACUUGGAGUCCCUCUAGUAUCAGUGGCACAAAAAAUAACUCACCACCACCAUCCAAGAAAAAACAAAAACAAAAAGAUCCCGUACACUCUGUAAAGUGUUUGAUAUUAGGAAGGGUAUUUAAUCAUAGAAAAGCUGACAUUGAAGCUUGAGGCAGUCUUGCAGCUUGUCAGAUCCUUUCAAACCAUUCAGCCCAUACAACACUAGAAAACAAACAUUAAAUAAUGAUGAUGAUGAAGAUGAUGAUGAUGAUGAUGGUGAUGAUGAUGACAGAAGUAUUAUAAGUUUGUGGUAAGAACUUUUGUCAAGUUAAGUAAAGAAAAAGAUUUCGUUUUUGGAUUUGGUUUGCAAGAUUCUUUAUUUGAGCUUGUGUGUUGAAGCAUAUUCUGUUGUGUCUGUGGAGAGUCAUUUUCUUUUUGUGCCUAAUAAUGUAAUACACUCAACGGUAAAAUUUCCACUUAUUUUCUUAUUUUUUUAUUUUCCUAAAAUUUUCUUUGCAUCUUGCAACCUUGACGCAACGAAAAUUUUAGGAAAAUAAAAAUAAGAAAUAAUUGGAUAUUUUACCGGUGAGUGUGAUACAUUAUAAGGCACAAAAAGAAAAUGACUCUCCCCAGACACUAAAGAAAAAGAAUUGAACAGAUACCGAAUAAAUUGCAAAAUUAGUUUCACCUACCAGCAUAUCAUUAUGAAACUAUCUCCUACUGAGUUGUAUGGACAGUUAUUCAGGAUGUAGUUUUUAAAAGGUUACAAUAGAAAGACUGAACAUCAGCAAAUGGCACACAUUAUACAUCAAUGUACAUUAGUUGAGUAUAUUUUCCCUUAAAUAGUGUGUGUUUAGUGUGUGACACAUGGAUAUUACUUGUUUUAAAAGUUAAAUCAAUACUUUGAUGAAUCAGUGUUAGAUGUUAGAUUGAGGAGAAUUAAAUCUUUGUCACACGCACACAAAAAACAAAACAAGACAAAACAAAAAAAGACUAUUAGUAUAUUUCAUACGACAGAUGGCAUAGUUGAUUAAUUUUUUUUUUUGUUUUGGGAAAUUCUGUAAUCUCAAAUGGAUUGUUGAUUAUUUCAAAAGAAACUUUUAAUACUGUUGAAGCCAUCUUACAUACUGUGCGAGAUAAGAGAGCUAUGGUAGACAAAACUUGAAUGAAUAUAAUUGGCAAUGAAAUAUUUACAACCCAGUGGCAAAGUUGUAGUAGCAGAAAAAAAUAUUCUGAAUUUUUUUCUUUUUCAUAAAGAUAAUCAUUUCUGUUAAUCAUACUAUGAAUUUAUAAUGAAUUUUAUUAUUUUCGUAUUUUCAUUAUUUUGUUGGCUGUAAAGUUAAUGAAAGUGGUUGUUAACAUUAGUUUUGUUUGGUCACUGGGUGAUUGCUAGCAAUGUAUUUAUUUGUUUGAAGGAGAAAUAUUGAAUAUCACUGUUAUAAAUCUCUAUAUAUGUAUUUCAUGUUCGGUGACAUAGAUCUAUUGACCUUGUGUUAUCAAAUUAAAAAGAAAGAAAACUGCAACUAUCACUAAACAUAACAUAAAUACAAGAGUAUCAUCAUCAUUAUCAUCACCAUCAACAACAUCUAACAUCCAUAUAGCAAUGGAAAUUGUUAAAUCUUAACAUCCCACUGGGAACUACAAUUAAUGAACAUUUAUGGAUAGUGAAAUCUUAUUUUAAUGAAUUUCCAACAAAGUUGUUUUACUUUUUUUUUCAAAACAGCAUCAGGUUGUGAAAAAUGUUUAUUCCUUUGAGGAAAAUUUGUGUAAUUACAUUUUUUCUGGAAUUAUUCCAGUAAUUAAAAGCUGAUUUAGAAAAUAUUGUAUCAAUAUAAAUUACUGUGUAAAUAUAUUUAUUGUUUCUUUGGUCUUCAAACAUUCUGUAUUUUCCUAGAAUUUUUCUAUCCCAUUUUUGCUGAGUUCCAGUUUAUGGAAUACAGUGCUUAAGGAAAUCUGUGUUAAAGAAUUAAAUCACAUCAAAAUCUUCCUUUUCUAUAGAACCCUCACUUAUUUACACUUCUCUUUGCAACACUGAAAAUUCUCCUUGGCUUUCUCUGUCUGUCUGUCUCUCUUUAUCCAUUGCAUGGUAAUUGUGAACUAGUGUCAUCAUCAUGCAAACAGUGUUCUUGGUUUCCAAUCUUCUGUGAAAACAUGUCUGGUCAUGGGGAAACAUUACAUUGCUUGGCAACAAGUAAGGGUUGGUGAUAGGAAGGGUAUCCAUCUUUUGAAAAUUGCUUCAAUGAAUACAUCUGACCCAUUUGAGCAUAGAAAAGUGACUGUUAAAUCACAUUGGUGAUGAUGUGUUUGGGGAUUCAUGGUUUGCGGAAAUUGCUUGCAUUGAUAUUAGUUGUUUUUCUUCACUGAUAAUCUUAUUAAGCUUAGAUAAUGCUUAAUCAUUGGUGUCCAAUUUUGGAAGGUUCUGUGGCACGUAUGUAUAUGUGUGUGUGUGUGUGUAUAUAUCUAUAUCUAUCUAUCUAUCUAUCUAUCUGUCUGUCUGUCUGUCUGUCUGUCUGUCUGUCUGUCUGUCUGUCUGUCUAUCUCUCUAUCUCUAUCUAUAUCUAUAUCUAUCUAUCUAUCUAUCUAUCUAUCUAUAUAUUAUAUAUAUAUAUAUAUAUAUAUAUAUAUAUAUAUAUAUAUAGGGGGAGAAUUCACAAAAAAAAAAGACAAAUAUACAUAAUAUAUAUAUAUAUAUAUAUAUAUAUAUAUCUUCAAUUUUUUUUGCUUACUUCUUUCAGUCAUUGGACUGUGGCCAUGCUGGAGUAUUGCUUUGAAAAACUUUUAGUUGAAUAAAUCAACCCCAUUAUUCUUUAAGCCUGGUACUUAUUCUGUUGGUGCCUUUUGCUGAACUGCUAAGUUAUGGGGAUGUAAACACACCAACACCAGUAGUCAAGUGGUGGAAAAGGAGGACAAAGACAGGCACAAGGACAAACACACUAUCUGUCUAUCUCUCUCUCUCUCUCUCUUUCUCUCUCUCUCUCUCUCUCUCUAUAUAUAUAUAUAUAUAUAUCUUAUAUAAAAUCCGUUCUGUCUGUGUGUCUGUGUGUCUUCUUGGGUCUCAGCUUCCUCCAUCCGAUUGCACUCAAACUUGAUAUAUAGAUACCAAUGGUAUCAGGGCAUGUAUAAGUCUUGAAAAAAUUACAAAACUCGAUUCCAGGUGAGAAUGCGAUCGAUAAAGCCGUUUUCGUCCUGCUUUUCUUCUGUCGACCUGUAUAUAACUCUACCUUCCAUUUUUUUUUUGUACUGCUUAAAGGCAUGUUUCUUUCCUGCCAAGCUUACUGUUUAAACCAUGUUUGUGUUCUCCCAGUCAACAGCCUUAUCAUUACUGGUACUUUAAACUCUUAUUUGUGUGAAUAAAAUCGUUUUUCUUUGGAAUAGAAUAAAAGUCUAUCUUUAUUUCUUCUUUUGCUAGUGUCUCAAAUUUAGGUUAAAUCAGUGUUUCUCAAAGGGGAGGGCUAUGGGACGGUCGGACAAAUUGUUUUGAGAAAAUUUGGUUUAAAUGUUUGACAACACAGCACCAUCCAUUGGAUGGGGGGUGGGGGUGUUUUGCUCAUAUAUAUAUAUAUUGUUUGUUCCUUCUUGAGCCAUGCCUGGCUCAUUAGGGCCAGUUUCUCAGUUUCCUUGGCAUAUAGGUUCCCCACCUGGAUGGGAUGCCAAUCCGUUGCAGGUGUGCUGCAAGAUGCAGGAGGAAAGAGUGAGAGAAAGUUGUGGUGAAAGAGUCAGCAGAAGUUUGCCAUUACCUUCUGCCGGAGCCACAUGGAGCUUAGGUGUUUCGCUCAUAAACACACAUAUCACCUGGUCUGAGAUUUGAACCUGUGAUCCCUCGACUGCAAGUUCUCUGCUCUAACCACUAGGCCAUGUGCCUCCACAUAAACACACAUCGCCCGGUCUGAGAUUCGAACCCAUGAUCCCUCGACUGUGUGUCUGCUGCUCUAACCACUAGCCAUGUGCCUCCAAAAACACACACACACACACACACACACACACACACACACACACACACAAACACACAUACACACACAUAUAUAUAUAUAGUAAAGUCCAUUUGCCAAUGCAAUGUGGCAGUCCUAUGCAAGACUACCACAUUAUUAAUUAUUCAUUUAUUCUAUGCUGAAGAAAGAUAAAAAUCAAUUUGGUUGGUGUUGAUUAAUAUUCUGUAAAAUAUAUCUGACUCAAGAGACAAAGGUAAAGCACGGAUGUUCUCAACAUUAACUCUGCCUUCUAUGUAGCACAAAAAUGGUGGACUGAAAGAUUAACCAUGACUUCUUUGUAUCAUAGCAAUGGUGGGCUAAUAAAUGAACCAUAUCUUUGUGACACAACAAUAGUGGGCUAGUGGAUUAACCCUUUGUUCUUUAUAAGAUUUAUGAGAAUGUGCUGACAAGUUUCCUAGCUUUGGGUAAAAGAAAAUACAGGAGUAUCAGUUAAUUAUGAUUUUAUUCAACAUAUUCCCCUCUCAGAUCCACACACUUAUUGCAGUGGUCCUUCAGUUUUUCUAAGCCCUGUAAAAGUACUCAUAAGGUUGGGCCUCCAAUCAAGCCUUUCAUGAUACCCUUAAAGCAAGGAACUUUCCAGCUUCCCCUCAUACAUUUGGGCUAUUAAAUGAACCCAGUCUUUGUAACACAACACCGGCAAGACAAUAAACCCUGUUUUCUGUGUAACAAUGGAAUUCACCCAAACAUCUUACUAUGGUAAAAAUUUAAUCUUCAGAAAUUGCAUGUCAUGGAUAAAUUUCCCAAGAAUAUUUCACAAAAACAGUCUAUUUAUAUACUGACAAUAAGAACCAGGUUAGAAAUGUAGUUCAGUGGAAACGGAUGUUUUUAUUUUUAUUUAAUUGAAUAAUUUCAACUUUAUUCCCAGUUGUAGUUAUUCAGCCCCAGGUCAACCCUGAUUAUGCACACCUAUUAUCUGGUCACUACUGCUGUUCUUGUUAACCCUAAAUUGUCCUGGUUAUGGUGACUAAUGACUGAAAAGUUGUGUAGCUACGACUGUUGUCUUUACCCUUUAUCUUUUUUUUUUUCAGGAACAUAUAUCCUUCUAACUUACACUACCUCAUGCAACAUGUUCUUUUGUUAAGGCUGUAGAAUAUAGUUUAAGGGAGAUUUGGCUGCUAUUUCUAGCAGAUCAGAUGGCUGGUUUUCAACAUGCUGUGGUGUUACAUUGUGAGAUCUGAACACAGACAGAAAACUGUGUCAGUGAGGGAACUAAGCUAAUCUUAACUGACCUAAGGCCUUGUGUUGGUGCUGAUUGCUGGUGGUUUCUGCCGAAACGGUGUUUCAUGGCUGACUUUUGAUUGAUUUAGCAGUUAAGACAUCGAUUGUGUUUUGAGGUUAGAUGUCUGUACUUGAUACAUUAACUCAGUUAAUUGAUAGACUGGCUUCUGUUUAGCUGGACAGUGGCCAUGCAGUAGCGAAGGAUGGAGUAUAGCAGAGUAUAUGUGUGUAUGUGUGUGUGUGUGUGUGUGGGGGAGAGUAUAUGGACUGUGUUGGGAGUAUUUAAGUGUGUGUGGAAGUGUAUUACUGUGUAUGGGGGUAUGGUGUAUAGUAUAACAAAGUGUAUCUUUGUGCGUAUGAACUGUAUGGGGGAGUAUAGUGAAACAAGUAUGAAGUAUAUCAUGCGAGUGUGUGGAUCAUCAUCAUCAUCAUCAUCAUUUAACGUCCGCUUUCCAUGCUAGCAUGGGUUGGACAGUUCAGCUGGGGUCUGUGAAGCCAGAAGGCUGCUUCAGUCCCAGUCUGAUCUGGCAGUGUUUCUACGGCUGGAUGCCCUUCCUAACGCCAACCACUCCGAGAGUGUAGUGGGUGCUUUUUACGUGCCACCCGCACAGGUGCCAGAUGGAGCUGGGUAGAGUACAUAAUGUGUGUGUAUGUGUGUGUGAACUGUAUGGUGAGGAGAGAAUAGUAUAACAAAUAUAGUGUAUUAUGCGAGUGUGUGGAUAGAGUACAUAUUGUGUGUGUGUGUGUGUGUGUGUAAGAGUGAGAGAGAGAGAGAGUAUAUGGACUGUGUGUAGGAGCAUAUUGUAAAAGAGUAUGUUAUAUGUGAGAGGGAGAGUAUGGUAUUACAAAAUAAGUAUCUUAUAGUGUGCACAGGUUAACCACCAGUAUCUGUUUGGUUGGACAGUGGUCAUACAAUAAGGAAACAUAAUGUGUGUGUGUGUGUGUGUGAGAGAGAGAGAGAGAGAUUGAUAACUAACAUAUGGAGAUGAGUGUGUGUGAAAGAGAUACCUGGAUAAAAGAGGGGAAUUGUUAAGUGAUCAUAACUCUGUAUAUCACUGGUAUUUUAUAGAAUCUAUCAUCAUUCUCAUCAUUCUCAUCAUCAUCAUCAUCAUCUUCAUCAUUUAACAUCCGUUUUACAUGCUGGCAUGGGUUAGACAAUCUGACUGGAGCUGGUAACCUGGAGAGCUGCUCCAAUGCUUCAGUUAUCUGUUUUGGCUUGGUUUCUAUAGCUUGAAGCCCUAUCUAAUGCUAACCACUUUACGGUGUGUACUAGGUGUCUUUUACGUGUCACUCGCAUGGAUGCCUCUUAAAUGUAUCUGGCACAGGUGCCUUUUGCAUGUCACUGGUAUGGGCGCCCUUUUAUGUGCCACCAACAUGUGUGCCCUUCUACAUGCCAUCAGCAUGGGUGUCCUUUUAUGUGUCACUGGCACAAGUGCCCUUUUACAUGUUACCAGCACAGGUGCUCUAUUAUGUGUCACCAGCACAGGUGCCCUUUUACAUGUCACCAGCACAGGUGCCCUAUUAUGUGUCAUUGGCACAGGUGCCUUUUAUGUGGCGGCAGCACUGGCUACAGUUAUGAUUUCAUUUAGCUUGAUGUGUCUCCACGAGCACAGCAAAUCUACAAAUAUCUCACCUGGCUAGAUUUAUAUUCUGUGUUGACAGAAAUGUGAUGAACGAUAGAAGUAAGAGGUCCAAUGUGUACAACACAUUGAUUGUAACAGAGAGAGAAAGAGAGAGAGAGAGAGAGAGAGAGAGAGAGAGAGAGAGAGAGAGAGAGAGAGAGGGACAUAAUCUUUGUUGGAUGUGUGAGAUACAAAAAGACGUUAAAUAAAAUUGUUACUGUUUCUGAACAAAAUGUUUUUUCUUCUUCUUGUGAAGAACUCCAACAAUAUUUCUAGUAGAAACCAAAAUAGAUUUAUAACAAUGGUUGUGAAAAUAGCUGAAAGAAAGUAGCCAUUUUAUCAUAAUUAUCAACUUUCAUUAGUUUAACGUCAGCUUUGCCUCACUGCUAUGAUACGGUAUGGGGAAAUAUCUUUGUUUUUUUCUUCAUUUCCAUCAUUCUUUGCCUUGUUUCCUGUUCAAAUUUCGUUCAUGUUAUCAGAAUUCUUUACACUCUGGCUCCCCACUAAUCUGCAUCAUGGCACCGUUUGCAGAUACUGUCAUUCAUUAUUGUUAUCAGUGACCGUUAUUAGCAGAAAGUAUUCACUUUUUCUACUCACUUACUGUCUGCUUUUUACAGAAACUGUGAAAAGUUAGGAAUAAAGAAAUUAUAAGAAAUGAUUAAAAUAUCCAACAAAGAAAAACGGAAAACAAUGUUAAUAACAUUGUAACACAAAUAUACUGUGAAACCAAAACAUUUAUUAUUGUAUCGGCGGCUCAGUGGUAGAAAUACUCACCUGUUCACAAAUGAGCAAUCUUCCUGGUUGACAACAGGGAACACACCAGCUUCAGAAAGGAGUUUCUGGUAGAUGUCUGCCUGGUUGACAAUGUAGGUAACUCUGAUUUCAGAUCUUAAAUGUCUUCUAGUAGGAAAGACAUCCAGUUAUGCCUGAUGAUGAAACCUCCACAUGGUCAGUGACCUUCAAGAAAUAAUAGCAAAAUAUUCCUCAAAUGGUAUCCUGCCAUCUUGGGGGACAAAAAAAAGGACACAUUGACUAAUAUAUAAAUACAAAAUGGAAUGGUCAUAGUUAAGGCUAAACAGCAGCUCUUAGUAUUUUUGCCUAUACAGUAUCACACAGCACAUUGAUCCAUUCAUAUGCACUGUGGUGUACUGAGUUCUGUUCCUUACUGCACAUUCAUCCAUCUUUGCCCACCGUUGUCUACUGGGUUCUUUGGACAGCUUUCAUAGGAUACUAGUUGAAAAGGGGUUGAAGAAGAAGUGAAGUUACCUUCUCAAAUUAUGCCAACUCAUAAGGGUAGUUUCCCAGUUUCUAUGGAAAUAUCUAUUCCCCACCUGGUAGGGAAACCAGUCUGUCACAGGAUUACUCAUUUUUGCCAGCUGAGUGGACUGGAGAAACAUGAAAUGAAGUGUUUUUCUCAAGAACACAACACAUUGCCCAGACCAGGAAUCGAAACCAAAAUCUUACAAUCAUGAGUUCAAUACCCAAACUUGUUGAAAAGAGGUUGUUGAUUCCACAUUCUAUCCUCUUCCACUUCUUAGGGAUAUGGUACACUGUGAGUGGCCCUUCACGACCCAGAUCACAACAGAGUGCAGCCAAUACAAUACCACAAUAGUGAUGGAUCAAUCCUAGCUUAUGACCAGUUCUUUAUUUAUUGACUCUAGAAGGAUAAAGGUGAAGUUGACUGCAGUGGGAUUUGAACUCAGAGCACAAAGUGAGAGCAGUUAGUACGAGGUAUUUAUCUGACAUUUGAACAAUUCCUUUAACCAAACUACUGUUUUCUAAUAUUACAAUAAUGUCCUCAUUUACAAAACACCAGUCUUUCUACAGAACCAGAUAUAAAUAAAAGUGAAAUAUAAAAUUGCAACAAUUAAUUUUGCCAUAUUCCAAAAUAAAAUUUCAAGCAUUGUGUGUGUGUGUGUGUGUGUGUGUGUGUGUACAUGUAUGUGCAGGAAAGGAGAACUUUUUGAAACUUACUAAAAUAUUUAGCAACAGACUAGAUAAAAAUCGAUAUCAGUCUGACCUGGUCCUAUAUUAUAAAAUCUAUGAGCAGUAUCUCAAUACACACAUCAUCAUGAUCAUCAUCAUUAACUUCAAGACAUGGUCUUAAUUCAGGAAAUGUAAUAAUACCAAAGUUCUAUAUUAGAAACCAUUGCAGUAGAUUUAUGAAGCAAAAAAGGAAUGAUACAAUUUAAGAGACCAGAUAUGGUUUGUAAUUACUAUUGAAACAGGUAAAUACUAAACUCCCUGUGGAUAAUGAUGAAUGAAACAGGAAAAUAUUAGCAUCAGGCUGGUCAAAGCCUUGUGAAUAGAUUUGGUAGAUGUAAACUGAAAAGAACGUUGUGUGUGUGUUUCCUUGUCUUGAAUUUGCAUGAUUUUUGUAAAUGAACGUCAAUCACUUCUCCAAUAUCCCACGGAAACGCAUCUGGUUAUGGGGAAAUAUUACCUUGCUUGGAAACAGCUGAAAGUUGGUAACAGGAGGAGAAAUCUGGCUGUAGAAAGCCUGUUUCAAUAAAUUCUAUUGAAACCAUGCAAGUAUGGAAAAGUGAAUGUUAAAAAAACGAUGAUGAUGAUAAUGAUGAUUCUGUUUUUCAACCAAAUUGUUUACCAGUUACAAAGUUUCUUCUAUUCUGUAACUUUGUUGUUGUUUUCUUGUAUUCAACUCCUAGACAACCCAUGAUGAACUUUUUAAAAGAAGGCUUGAAAGAAAUUAAGCUAGCAUACUCCACUGGAUGGGUAAUGUCAGUGUGCAUGCACAACAGAGUGUAAGUGAUUUAAGAAAAAUACUGGGUAUAAGAGGCAUCGGAUGUUGUAUGCAAGAGAGAAGACUGUGGUCAUGUGGUUUGGUCAUGUGAUGUGUAUGGAUGAGGACAGCUGCAUAAAGAAGUGCCAACCUCUAAUUGUGGAGGGUAUCUGUGGAAGGGGUGUAGACCCAGGAAGACAUGGGACAAAGUUGCAAGAAAAGAUCUUUGGAUGCUGAGCCUCACUAAGGAGAUGACAGAAGACCAAGAGAAUGUGGGGAUUUGCUGUACUGUACUUGAUAAGACAUGUCGAGCUAAGUAAAACUGCUGUCUUCCACACAUAGAAGCUUGUCCUUUCAGGUGCUAGUGCCACUUAAAAAGCUGGUGCUGUAUUAACACACCUGUGCUGGUGCUGCAUUAAUGCACCUGUGCUGGUGGCAUGUAAUAAGCACCCAGCACACUCUGUUAAGUGAUUGGCAUUAGGAAGGGCAUCCAACUGUAAAAAUCAUGCUACAACAGACAGUUGGAGUCUCGACAGCUCAUGUCAAACUGUCCAAUUCAUGCCAGAAUGGAAAGCAGAUGUUAAGCGAUGACAAUGAUGAUAAUACUGAUGAACGAUGCUAUAAAACCAAACACAAUGCUGUUAUGUCCUAGGUUAGACAUGAUAGGAUCAAAGAUGUCAAAUUAUAACCAUCCACCCUUAAUUUUCAUUUUUUUAAAACUGUAAAAUAACAAUUGGUUUUAAUAUCGAUCUCAUGGAUUAUUGACAAAAAUGGUAACACAAUGGAACAAAGGAUGUUUAAUGGCUCACAUCAAUCAAAUUGUCAGAAAUCUUAGAUAUAAACACAGAUUUGCUGGCCGACCAAAGUAUUGUGAGUGGAUUUGAUAGAAGGAAACUGAAAGAAGCCUGUUAUAUAUAUAUGUUUGUAUGUGUGUAUCUUUCUUCCCCAUCACUUCUUGGCAACCAGUAUUGGUUUGUUUACACCCCUGUAACUUAGUGGUUUGGCAAAUGAAACCAAUGUAAUAAGUAGCAGCCUUAAAAACAAUAUGCACUGGGGUUGAUUCAUUUGACUAAAACCCUUCAAGGUGGUACUCCAGCAUGGCUGCGAUCCAGUGACUUUAAGAGUGAACGGUUAAGUAUAAAAGUCUACAUAGGCACAGGCGUGGCUGUGUGGUAAAAAGCUUGCUUCCCAACCACAUGGUUCUGGGUUCAAUUCCACUGUGCAGUGCCUUAGGCAAGUGUCUUCUUCUGUAGCCUUGGGCUGAUCAAAACUUUGUGAAUGGAUUUGGUAGACGGAAACUGAAAGAAGCCUGUUGUAUAUAUACAUGUGUGUGUGUGUGCGUGUGUGUGUGUGUGUGUGCACGCGCAUGUGUGUGUGUGUGUGUGUGUGUGUGUGUGUGUGUGUGUGUCUGUGUGUGUGUCUUUGUGUUUGUUUCCCACCACUGCUUCACAACCAGCGUUAUUGUGUUUAUGUCCCCCAUAACUUAGUAGUUCAGCAAAAGAGACUGAUAGAAUAAAUACCAAGCUUAAAAAAAGGAAAAGGUAUUGGGGUCAAUUCCUUUGACUAAAAGUUCUUCAAGGUGGUGCUCCAGUAUGGCCAGUAUCUAAUGAUUGAAACAAGUAAAAGGUAAAUGGAACGUUAUGAGUGAACUACUACAGCCCAUGGGAAUUUCUGACUGGCACACCUGAUGAAAAAUUUACCUUGAAUUUUUUGGGGAUUUGGUAGACAGAAACUGAAAGAAGCCUGUUGUAUAUAUAUAUAUAUAUAUAUAGCAUGUGAGUUUAUGUGUCUGUGUUUGUCCCCCCACCAUUGCUUGACAACUAAUGUUGGUUUGUUUUUGUUCCCCGUAACUUAGCGGUUCGACAAAAGAAACCUUUAUAAUAAGUACUAGGCUUACAAAGAAUAAGUCCUGGGGUUGAUUUGUUUGACUAAAGGCAGUGCUGUAGCAUGGCUGCAGUCAAAUGACUGAAAUAAAAAAAUAUAAUGUCUAUAGAUAUGCGUAUAAAAAUAUCUAUUUACACAUUAUGUAUGUGAGUCUGUGUAUGUAUAUAUAUAUAUAUAUAUAUGUAUAUAUAUGCAAUACACACAUUAUGCAUGUAUAUGUGUGUGUGUAUGUAUAUAUAUAUAAAUAUAAUAGCCCAGGUGGGAGGAUCCUUACAAGUAUGCAUAUUGUUACAGUUGGAGCUUUUUUAUGAUAUUAAAUACUUUUCUUACAACUAUUUAUUGAAUCAAAAAUGUAUUGGAUCUCUUUGUUAAUUGAACAGACGGAGACGAGCAGAAUUUAUUAGUUCACAGUAAUAGCUGUAGUCUUAAGAUUUUGAACUCACAAAUUGUCCAGGUCCUUAACCCAUUAGCAUUUAAACUCUUUUACUUAAUUGUUUCAGUCAGUUGACUGCGGCCAUGCUGGAGCACCGCCUUUAGUUGGGCAACUCGACCCCGGAACUUAUUCUUUGUAAGCCCAGUACUUAUUCUAUCGGUCUCUUUUUGCCGAACCGCUAAGUGACGGGGACGUAAACACACCAGCAUCAGUUGUCAAGCAAUGCUAGGGGGACAAACACACACACAUACACACACAUAUAUAUAUAUACAUAUAUACGACAGGCUUCUAUCAGUUUCCGUCUACCAAAUCCACUCACAAGGCAUUGGUCAGCCCGGGGCUAUAGCAGAAGACACUUGCCCAAGAUGCCACGCAGUGGGACUGAACCCGGAACCACGUGGUUGGUUAGCAAGCUACUUACCACACAGCCACUCCUGCGCCUAAACUGGUCAUAUCAGCCCGAAUUAUUGUUCUACGUUCAAACCAGCCAGGUCUGGCCUCUCACACUUAAUCAACAAUGUCAUUCUAAAAAUAAACACCUGCAUCAUUGAAAUCUCAAAGCUAUAAGAUAAUGUAUAAUUAAUGCAAGACAGUGUGAAUAAAUAUGCAUUACCUUUGACAGAGCAAUCUGAAUGCUGAUGAGUUAACUUGCACAGUUAAAUUUUGUGGAGUGACUUAUAGGCACAGGAGUGGCUGUGUGGUAAGUAGCUUGCUUACCAACCACAUGGUUCCGGGUUCAGUCCCACUGCAUGGCAUCUUGGGCAAGUGUCUUCUGC